rnacentral:lncRNA from 1 species
UUCCAAUCAAAUGUGGGUUCCACACCCAUAUUUCAAAUUUCUCAACUUUCCAACCAAUAGGUUGAGAUGAGCUAGGGUGCCUCUAGACUUAAAGCAAAGUCCUAAAAUUUACAUUCCAGAGAUAUUGGCACAGUUAAAAUUUUCAUAUGAGAUUGUUUACUAAAUUUUUUAAUAGGUGGCCAUUUGGAACCAUUGAAGACUUGCAAAUAUGGAAUAGGCUCUAAAAACUAAACAAACUAUCCGAUAACUGAACUGUCAACUCCAGCAAGUCAUAAAUUACUUGGGUAGUUAUAGAAAAGAUCUAAUGGUGAAAAUAUGCAAAAAUGUGGAAAAUUACCUCAAUCAUCAUUACAAUAUCCACUACUAAAGAAACUUUUAUCCCUAAAAGUUAAGGAUUAGGAUAAACCUGAAGUCUCAAAUAGGUGAGGAUACUAUGUCCAUAUCUUUCUCUUGAUCUCCCAAGUGGCCUCCUCCACUGGGCAGUGCCUUUACUAAACCUUAACUAUAAGAAUCUUCGUAGUGUGAAACCACUUGGCAUCACUAUCUAAAAUGAACACAGGCUCUUUUACAAAUGUCAAACUCUCAUCCAACUGGACUGAGUCCCAUCAAAGCACAUAAGAUAAAUCAAGAAUAUAUCACCGCAACAUGGAGACAUGGAAAACUGGAUGAACAUAGGCAAAAUAAUAAGGUAGAUCUAACUCAUAAGCUACCUCACCAACUGCCUGAAGAAUAUCAAAAGGUCCAAUAUAUCUAAGACAAAGCUUGGCCUUCCCCUCCGAACCUUAUUACACCCUACAUGGGUAAUACACGAUCAUCAACUCCAAAUCUCAAGGCAUGAAGCCUACGGUCUGCAUAUGCCUUCUACCUACUCUGAGAUGCUCUAAACCAAUCCCAAAUUAUCCUUACUAUAUCCAAUGACUCCUAAAGUAAAUUAGUACCAGAGAGCCUAACCUUGAAACUCUCAAACCAUCCUAUCAGAAAACAAAAUCUAUAAGACUCAAAAGAUGCCAUCUCAAUACUCGAAUGAUAGCUGCUAUUAUAUGUGAACUAUGCCAAGGCUAAGUGAUACUCUCACUGGCCUCUAAAAUCCAUAACACAGGCUUAAAGGAUAUCCUCAAGAACCUAAAUAGUCCGCUCAGACUGGCCAUUAAUUUGUGGAUAGAAAGUUAUGAUAAGAUGCACCUGAGUGCCCAUAUCUUCCUAAUAUUCUAUCCAAAAUAUAUAGGUGAACACAAAACCAUGGUCUAAAAUAAUAGAAAUGGGAAUACCAUGCAAACGAAUUAUCUCCUGAACAUUGAUAUGGGAUAAUCUUUUGGCAUUGAAAGACAUCUGAAUAGGAAUGAAAUAUGAUGACUUGGUCAAAUGAUCUACAUUGACCCAAAUUCCAUAGGAACUAUACGAAGUGUGCGAGGAAAGAUGCUAACAAAAUCCAUGGUUAUCGGCUCCUAUUUUCGUUUGAGAAUGGGUAAUUAAUGAGUCAAAACACCUAGUCGUUGAUGCUCCACUUUGAACUACUUAUAAAAUAGGCAACGAGCGACAAUGUCUACUAUAUAUCUCUUCAUACCACUCCACCAAUAAUGUUUUCAUAAAUCUCUAUACAUUUUGGCUGUGCUAGGAUGAAUGGAAUAUCUGGAAUUGUGAGCAACAUGAAAAAUCAACUAAAUUAAGUCAUCAACCUUCGAACACAAAUACGACCAUCAAAUAUCAAAACACCCUCGAAAUCUAUGGUGUUCCUCUCAAACUUUCCACUCAACACCUGAUCAUUAAGAAAGCGAAACUUAAAAUCCUGAAAUUGAUGAUCUCAAAUCUUCUCAAAUAAUGAUGACUUCUUCUUAACACUAGAAAGAAUCCUCCUAGGGUCUAAAACAUUAAGGAGAAAUAUAAAGUUAUCUAAAGGUUGAAUGUCCCAUGCCAAUGACCUCUGAGAAAUUAAAAUACUAGCCAAGCUUCCCAUGCUCUCUGCCUUUUGACUCAAGUCAUCUGUUACCCAAUUUACCUUGUUUGGAGGAUAUAAGAUCAAGAUAUCAUAAUCCUUAAGCAAUUCCAUCCAUCUAUGUUGUCUAGCAUUAAGCUCUCUUAAGGUUAUAGGAUGCUAUAGACUGCGAUGAUCGGUGAAAAUCUCACAAUGCACAAUAUAAAGAUAAUGCCUCCAAAUUUUAAGCAAGAAAACUACCGCUGCCAACUCCAAAUCAUGAGUAGGGUAGUUGUGCUCAUGCACCUUAAGUUGUCUUGAAGCAUAAGCAAUAACACGACCCUGUUGCAUCAAGAUAAAACCCAAACUAACACCAGAAGCAUCAUAAAGCAUAGUGAAUCCCUCAACCUUAAUAAAAAAAAAUCUAAAAUAGGAGUUGAUGUGAGAAAAUCCUAGAGAUUCCAAAAACUUGACUCAUACUCCUCGGACCAUAAAAAGGGAACUUUCUUCCAAGUCAAUCUGGUCAUAGGGUUUGAAAUAGUAGAAAAAUCCUUGAUGAAGCAUCUAUAAUAACCAGCUAAACCAAUAAAGCUACAAACUACAAUCAAAAGUGUAUGUCUAGCCCAAUCAUACAUCACCUCAAUCUUGGCUAGGUUUACUAUAAUACCAUUCUUAGACACCACAUGUCCAAGGAAUGUCACUGACUCAAGCCAAAAGUCACACUUAUAGAACUUGGUGAAAAGCACAUGAUCUAUCACAGUAUGGAGGAAGAUCCUCAAAUGCUGAGCAUGUUCCACUCGACUUCUCAAAUUCACAAAGAUGUCUUCAAUUAAUACACUCACAAAGGAAUUCGAAUAAGGCAUCCAAGAAACUCGGUUCAUCAAAUCCAUGAACGUAGCUAGGGCAUUAGUCAACCUAAAUGACACCACCAAGAAAUCAUAAUGACCAUAACGGGUCCUAAAGGAUGUCUUCGGCAUAUCCUCAGCCCGAAUCCCCAAUUGAUUGUAACCAGAUCUCAAAUCAAUCUUGGAAAGCACUACUACUCUGUGAUAUUGGUCAAAGAAAUCAUCAAUGCAAGCCAUAGGAUAACAAUUCUUCAUCGUCACCUUAUUAAGUUGCCUAUAAUCAAUAUAAUUAUGCAUGGAGCCAUUUUUCUUCUUCAAAAUUAGUAUAGGAGCUCAAAAACAAAGACAUACUUGGUCGAAUGAAACCCUUACAAAGAAGAUCCUCAAGCUGAGAAUUCACCUCCAUAAGCUUGGCAGGAGCCAUACUGUAAGGUGCCAUAGAAAUAGGUCAGGUGCAAAGAUUAAGAUUAAUAACAAACUCAAUCUCACGGCCUGGGAGAAUACCAAGAAGGUUGAUAGGGAACACAUCAGGGAACUCACAAACAACAGAAACAGAGAUAAGUGAUGAACUCUCCACACUAGUAUCACAAAUAUAAGUGAGAUACAACUCGCAACCAUUAAAAAUAAGCCUCCUAGAAAGAACAUGAGAAAUAAUCCCCGUAGGUUCACAACUAACCACUCCCUACCAUACGGUUAGGAGUACGUUAGGUAGGGCUAAAGACGUCUUGGCAAAACUAUCCAUGAUUACAUUAUAGUUGAAUAACCAGUCCAUGUCCAGAAUCACAUCAAAAUCUACCAUAUCCAAAAUAAUAAGAUCAAAAUAAGUAUCAUUAUCAAUAAUAGUCACAACACAUGAUCAAAGAACUCUAUCUACAACUAAAGAAUCAGCCACGAGAGUAGAUACUCACAAACAUAUAUAAUAAGCCACAAGACAACUCUAACCAUGGUGCAUAAUAAGCAAAAAUAUAAGAACAUGUGGAUCCCAUAUCAAAUAAAGCAAGGGAUGACUAGCGGCACAUAAAAAGUAUACCUGUAACAACAACAUCUGAAGUCUCAACCUCGAAUCUAGCAAGUACUACAUACAACUGACCAUGAACUUGCAAGGCACCUAACCAACCUUCUAUCUUGCCUAUCUGAGAACCUUCUUGAGUACCCUAGAAACCAUCCCUGUGACUAUAAAAACCACUUAUAGCUAAGGGAUGAACUACUUUAAUAGGGAAACACCUUGAGAUGAAGGAACAAUUGCCCUACAAAGAGGGCACUCUCAAGAAUCAUUACUAAGAUCCCCACAACUAUAACAUAAAUAAAAAGAAGAACCAGUACCAAUAGAUUUGGAUGACUCAGAGUAACCACCAUGACUAGAAUAACAAGAAGAUCAAGCCCUAGAAGACUAACCAUCAUCUAGAACAGGGCGGUCUUUAGCACUAGAUUGACCUUCGUUUAUAAUAUGAAGUGUUGCCUAAAUAGGUUAACUAGGCAGACUCUUAAGUCUGAUAGGAUGGAUUUGGAGAAUGCCCACCAUGACAACAACUACCUAUGAAUCGUGAACUACUACGGCUACCAUUGAAAAUACCCUGAUAUUUAGGACUCUUAUAAUUACCUCUUUAUGCCCCAGAUGCAUCUCCUUCAUCGCCCGAGCAUGAUCCAAAACCUCAGCAGACCUACCCACAACAACUAAAAUCUGAGUACAUAUAUAAAUAGGGAGUAUCAACCCACUAACAAAGCAAUGAACUCUCUCAUAUUUAGUAUCCAAAAUAAAAGUCGCAUGUCUAGCUAACUCACGAAUAUGAGCCUCAUACUCUAUAAUUGUCAUAGAGUCCUACUUCAAUCUAUAGAAUUGAUCUUUCAAAUGAUCACUAAGGAUGCAAGGCAUGUACUUCACUAAGAACAUCUCAAAGAACUGAGUCCAACAUAAAGGACAAGAUCCAUCUGGUCAAGAAUCCAAAAAACCUCCCCACCAAUGUCGAGCAGUCAAAUCUAACUAAAUAUGGUGUAUUCCAUACCACGAGUCUUAACAAGGCCUAAAUUAUGGAGCCUAUCCUCAUGAACAAUUCAAAAUUCAUAUGCAUUCUCACUUAAAGCACCAAAAAAACUAGGCAGAGCCAAUCUCAUGAAUCUACCCAAAAUCUGACGCUCCUAAAAAGUCAUAGCAAUUUGUGCAACUACGGUGCAGAAGACACCUCAACUCUGGGAGUUGCAGCUACAGGUUGUGCCCUCACAUUAGAACCACUCUGAUAAGUAGAUUGUGCACCAUUAUAUGGUACAUUACCAACUAUCACCAAAAGAUUAACCAAUGCAUCUUAGAGCACUAACGAAGAAAUAAGGCAUGGUGGAGCCUGGGAUGGUCCCUUGCCCAUCGCUGGUUGGGGUGGAAGAAUCUCUGUCUCAAGAGUAAAAAUAGGACUUGGGAAGGCAUCCUAUGUUAGCCCCUAGCUAGGGACACAUCACAUAGCUUUCCACAACCUUUUGGUCAUCUAUGAAUAGUAGUAGGAUCCAUAGGCUCAAUCUCGGGACCCUCAUCUCAUGUAGUGGUAGCACGUAUCCUGACCAUCUGCAAUGAGCAAUAACAAGGGAAUACUUCUACAAACCAACUCAGACUCAUAGCAUGAUAUGAGUGAAAAGAGUGAAGAACUCUAAACUAUAUCCUAUAUCCUCCAAAAGAUAAGAAAUAAAGUCAUUGUUGUGAUCCGCAAACUCUACUUGACACUUUCUUUUAUACCAACAAUACUGUUGUAUCCUAGGCUCUGAUACCAAUUUUCUAUAACAUAAUUUAUGAGUCAUGAUGAUGCCUACUAAACCUACCGGUAGGUAAGUCAAAACCUAACAUAGAGAUAAUAUGAUAGGUUAAUUUUAUGGAAAAUACCCAACAUGCACGAAUUUCAAGAAUAUAAUAUAUAAAUAAGCUAAUUGUUCAAAAUAGAUAAAAAUAGUUAGUACAAUAUACCAUUAUAUGACCUGAUAGAGCCAGUACAAGAGUGUCUAAUCAUAAUAUAACUUAAUGUCUAGAGUAGUUAACCACAUUUGUCUUGAUAACAAAAGACUAAAUAUAAAAGAUACAGGGAAAUAGGUGACUCAAAAAACAAUAGCUAACCCUAUCUCUGAAAAAGUCAACAUAGAAAGGUCAAUGAUCAACGACAACAACUACUACUUGGAUCUGCACCAAAAAGGUACAAAAGUGUUGUAUGAAUACCAAAGAAAUAAAUACUCAAUAGGCAUCAUCAAUCGGCUGAUCUAAAUUAUGAUAUAAGUAUGAUAAAAUGCAAGAUAACAUAACUAAGUCAAGGUAUAGAAACAAAUGUAAAUCAUUGAUAACGCUCAACUUACAUGUCAAUUUAAGUGUAAGGUAGUCGUUGUUAAUAUAUUUACCCAUCUAAGAGUCAAGGUCGAAUCCAUGAGUAACAAUAUGAGUGACGAUUAAGUAAAGUAGAAAUAAAAGUUGCUUGCUAGGGUUCAAACCUAUGUUACAAGAUGGUUUUGAGGUUUUUAAUGUUUUCAAAUGUGAAAGUAUUUGUUGGGCUUCUAAGGUACUAAUUCAAGACUAACAAUAAUUAGAGUAUAAUCAUUUAAGAUGGAUCUUGGGACUAUGCUUUCCUAGGGGCAAGUUAUGCAUGGGAACAUGAUAAUUUGAUGCAAAUUCUAAUCAUUGAUCAUUUGGUAGGCUAGGUUUAAGGUAUUUGAGGCUAGUUUUUCAACAAAACCUCAAAGAUAUCACUCAUUAACCCUUUCAAGUAAGUAAUAAGUGUGUAAAUUAAAGCCACCGAAUACCUCAAUUGCGUAUCCUUAUUUCUAGGGUGACAUCCAUGGUAUAGUCAACCUCCUAAUCACCCUUAUGUCUAAGAUAGUGAAAAAUUUGCAAGAAAUACCCAUAAAUUAUCCACUAGUGCUUUAGUUCCCACAUCCUUCUUUAAAGGAUGAUGAGGGUUCCUAAAUUUCACCCAGACCCCUAUUUCAAGGAUGGUUUGAGCUUUCAAGAGUUCAUCCAUCUACCCCAUUUAGGUAUUUGGGCUUUCACCCACAAAUCCCACUAAUUUUAACCAAGCAAUAGUAGAACCCAUCAUCAACUAACUAUAAUAUACACAAAUAUAUCACAACCCGUAGACAAUUACAUCUAAUUCUAGCAUAAUCCCAAGAGGUAGAUCUAGCAAAUCAUGAUAAUAAUAAACACAAAUAAACUAAUAUAUCCAUCAAAGUUAACCAUAAGAAAAUAAAGAGAAGGCAUACCACACUUUAGAAUCCAAUGAAUCUUUAAUUGGUGAUGCCAAAUAUACACUUAAAAGUCACUCUAAUAUCUUCUUAGCUUAAUAUUAGUACAAGUUUUGCUCCAAGCUCCAAGAAAUUACAAAAACCCUAAAAUAAUGAUGUGAGGUAGGGUCGUAGAAUGAUGAAAUCCCUAAGAAAUGAUGGAUUUGAUCUUCUUAAAAGGGAAUUUAGGGUUGGGUAUGUGCUUUUACAACUUUGCCCCUGGCUAAAAAUCCUACUAUACCACAAUCGCAUGUGGAUCUGCCUUGAUCGUGGCUCCCAGGUCGCUGAAUUCUUCAAGCGAUCAAAGUCUACUGACUUCUGGACUAACCGUGAUCGUGGUGGACACUUUGUGAUUGAGGUACUCGAGGCCCAGUCUGCUUAUGUUUUCUAGCUUUUGCACUUCUCUUCCCUUUUUUGAUCCUUUUUUAGCUAAAGGUUUCUUCUUUUUCUCUCAGCACCUGUAUAGGUACAAAAUAUGGGAAUUAGUGUAUUUAUCCACAAAUAAGUCUCACUAUUACAUUCAAAUCAUAGUAGUGUGCACAAAUGUUGAAAACAAAUGAGUUACAAACUCACCACUCAUCAACACUCCCAACUUAAAGCUUUGGUUGUCCUAAAGCAAUACUACCUCUUAUCAUAGACAAUGCACAUUUAUUCCUAUAUUAGAUUACCAAAAUGAUCAUGAUGACUUAAACUUGAUUUCUACUGCAAAUAACUCCUCAAACAUGUACAAGACAAUUUUCACGACACCCUCAACAUAAUACCUAAUUUUCAAGGAUGCAAAAUACAUCACAGAGAAAUCAUCCUACAAUUACUAAUACUCAAGAAAUGACUCCUCUUUGACCUGAACUACAUUAUACUUUUUUGUCUCAUUUUUUGGGAGAUGACAAAAUCACCCACCUUAACUUGUUUACAUGCCUUCUUACGAGAAGGAAAAUUCCACUCACCAAGUUAUCAAAUAUGUAACAAGGAAUUUAAGUACAAAAUUUCCUUUCUCUCUCAAGAACUCUCAAUUUUAACAAGUACCAUGACAUAGGCUAGCCCCUAUUUUCAAUUGCCACUACAAUGAAAGUAAAUGGUUGGAGAUCUCGAAAGGCUUUUUGAGCUUGUAAUGUGGGUUUGCAGUAGGGUAGAAUAUUAUUUGGGAUCAAAGUGACUAUACCCUCCUUGAACAUCUAUAUUAAACUUUUUCAUCCAACUUUUGACCAUGGGCCACUUCUUUUAUUUUCACUCUUUAAGCGUGUGCCUACUUUUACUACCUUGAUUCAAUCAUUUUUGGGAAAGUACCUUCUUUUCAACUCUUUGCCUUGUACAUUUCAUGCUUUUCUUUGCUUUCUUGGGUCCCUUCUUUUUCCUAUUCAUUUAUUUAAUUUAGCUCUUAGGUACGAACUUACAACCACCCCAACUUAGAAUUUUAGCCUCAAUUUUUAUUUUAAAGUUGAAGGAGGAUAGGGUUCAAAAGAGGGAUAAGAAAAUUCUCAAGAUUUUUAAUGUAUUUGCCAAAGAAAGAUAUAAGGGCUCAAAGUGGGUGACUAGGGAUAACAUUUAUGCAAGGGUAGGAUUUUUAGGCUAAAGUAGAAUUCUAAUGUCGCAAAGAUGGACGACGAUCAUCUCCCAAAUCAAAUACAAUCAAAAUUAGUUUUGAGAGACUAAUGAUGCAGGUUCUAGAUAGUAAAAGUAUACAUGAGAUUCAAACAAAUAAUCUCACUACACAUGGCAUGCAAAUUCGCCACCAAGGCUCAAUUGCCCCUCCAGCUAGAGACAAAAGUAGAGUAUCUACCAAUUUUCUUAAGUCAAAAAUUUGGAGUCACCGAAAGAGAAAAUUAUUACAGUGUCGCUGACGUCCAUACCGUAGAUUUUUUUGAAAAAAUUUGGAUGAGGCGGAUGUUUGCUUUGCAUUUGCACCAUGCACAAUUUUCAAACCAUGGCAAAAAUUAAAGUUUUGGUCUCACAUUUUGGCUUCGUAUGGGCAAACCAACCAUAUGGCUACUCAUACUUCGGUAAUGGUAUGAGUGCAAUCCCAAAUCCACAAUGCCACUGGUACUUAGACUUCACUUGCAUCUGUGGCUCAAGACCCAAUCAUGACAUUUUUCCCUUAAGAAUGCCGUCACUCAAUCUAUCAUAGGGAAAAGAUCAUCCACCAUCACUAUUAAAAGUAAAAGAGAGCUAGGAAUGAAAAUAGUCAAUUCACAAAAUUUCCAUGCUUCAUGUGAACUAAGUUCAAGUAUUGCAAACCAAUGAAUACACACAAGGGUAGGGCCACACCCCCAACUAAAGGACCUGUAGUGACCUCAUUUCAUAACACAAAAGCUUAAGGAGGGUAAUAGGACUCCCUAAAACUGAAGUGAUAACCAGUGUGCAGGUUGGGUGAGCGAGCGUGAUUAUGGCAUAGGUGGAGCGAUCACAGUGGUGCAAUGGUGAUCCCCUGACCGCAACUGUGGUACUUGAGCCAUUCUGCUCCCCUAUAUUUUUGCAGGGCUUCCACACUUCUGAAGCUUGGUUUUCCCCAUUUUUGGCUUCCAACCUGUCCAAAGCACCUACAAAACAUAAAAACAAAGUGACUUAUUCCAAAAACAUAAUGGUGCAAAUAUGAAAAUGAUGGGUUGCCACCUAUCAAGCGCUUGAUUUAACAUCAUGGUCGAUGCCACGUUAACCAUCAUUUCAUCCUCCACUUAGAAGACUUGAAUUUCCUACCCAAUUUUUGAUCAUUACAUCUUUGAGGUACAAUAGGCAAAUGUAAGGGCAUGAUGACACAUAUUCUAUCACACUACUGCAAAGAAUUAAACUGUUUGCCCAAUUUUGCAUUGAACUUUCGUGUAGGAUCGUUGGGAAAUGAUGAGAUAAUUAGAAGGACACUAAUUGGUAAUCUAUCUUUAUGCUUCUUGGCCUCCAAGAUUGGUGUAUUAGCAUACCUAUUUGGAAAGACAAACUCCAGUAUAUAAGGAAAUAGUUCAUUCUCACCCUUAUUUAAUAUUUGCUUGAGUGGAUAUAUUAUCAUCCAUUACACCGAGAUUAAUGCUGAGAAGUUGUUAGAAUGAGGUCUUUUUUCUAAUUUCGUAGUUGUGUCCAUUUGGUUUCCUUACCCCGAAAUGGACUAGAGUCAUCAUAAAGUAUUUGCUUGGCUUCUUCAUCUUGACUCUAGUACUAUUUCUUCAUUUUUGGCAUCAUCUAUCAUGUUUUGAUUGGUUGGUGGGAAAAUCAGCGAGAGUUCUUCAAUAUAAAGCUCAUUUAGAAGCGAGGGCAUAGUUGAGGUGUUUGAAUGAUUAACUUCCAUGCCUACAUCUUUUAUCUUCAAUAUUACCUCUCCAAGUACCUUGUUGGAUUAGAGUAUAGGAGUUGCUUCGUCCUCCACCGUUGUUGUUAUCUCCAAGAAAAAUUAAAGAAUUUCUUUAAUGCCACUAUUUCUUGUGCUCCGUUCUUCCCUUUCUUCAUCUUAAUACCUAUCAAAUUUAUAAGAAAAACUAUCAUUUAGGUUAGUAUAACAAGGGGACGGGGCAUUUGGACAAUAACUCCAACAUUGUAAAUCAUCCUUCGUUGAUUUCACCCAUUCCAUGAUACCUUGAGGAAUUACUUCAACACAAUUAUUUUUUGUGAUUCGUUCUUCCCUUUAUUUCUCAUAAGACCUAUCAAAAUCAUAAGGAGAACUAGCUACUAGGUUUGCAUAAUGGGGGUAGGCGGCAUUUGGGAAAUUGCUCCAAUGUCCAUCUCAACCACCACAUUGAGAAAACUGUACUCAUAGGAUUUAGAUAGUGCACACAUCUUUCUCUAGGGAGCAUAUCUACAAUCUUACAAAAAAUGGGGUCCACCACAAUAUGGACAUGGAUUGUCAAGAUAGGAUUUCCAACCACCGAACUCAUUUUUAUUCCAGGAUGCCAUAGUAAGAUAUAACAAAAAUAAAGAAAAUCUACCUAACACAAGAAAUGAAACAAAACCACAAACAAAUAAUUACAUGGAUGAAUUCAUGAAAGUAAGCUAAAAUUUCAAACUAACUCAAUAUGCCAAAUUUGUUCCCCGACGAUGGCAUUAUUUUUGAUAACGCUCAACUUUCACGUCAAUUUGAGUGCAAGGUGGUCGUUGUCAAUAUAUUUACCCAACUAGGAGUUGGGGUCAAAUCCACGAAGCGCAAUGUUAGUGACGAUCUAGUAAAUUCAAAAUAAAAGUUACUUGCUAGGGUUCAAACCUAUGGUACAAGAUAGUUUGGGGUUUUUCAAUGAUUUAUAAUGUAAAAGUAAUUCUUGGGCCUCUAAGGGACUAAUUUGAGACUAAGAAUAAUUGGAGUAUAAUCAAUUAAGAUGGAUCUUGGGACUAUGCUUUCCUAGGGGAAAGUUUUGCAUGGAAACAUGAUAAUUCGAUGCAAAUUCUAAUCAUUGGUGAUGUGGUAGGCUAGAUUUAAUGUCUUUGAGGCUAGUUUUUCAACAAAAUCUCAAAGAUGUCACCCAUUGACCCUUUAUAGUACCUAAAGAGUGUGUUAAUUAAAGCCACAAGAUACCUCCAUUGCUUAUUUCUAUUUCUAGCAUGAUACCCAUAGUAUAAGCCACCAUCUAAUCACCCUUAUGUCUAAGAUAGUGAUAAAUUGGAAAGACAUACCCAUAAAUUGUCCACUAUUGAUUUGGUUCCCACACCUCUCUUUAAAGGAUGAUGAGGGUUCCUAAAGUUCACCCAAACCCCUCUUUCAAGGAUGGUUUGAAAUUUCAAGAGCAUGAGACUUUCAUCCAUCAAACCCAUUUGGGUAUUUGGGGCUUUCACGCACAAAUACCAACCAUUUCAAUCAAAAAAUAGUAGAACCUAUCAUUAACCAACUAGAAUCUACACAAAUAUAUCACAACCCACACAUAAUUGCAUCCUAUUUUAGAACUAUCCCAAGAGGUUGAUCUAGCAAAUCAUAAUCAUAAUUAACACAAAUAAACCAAUAUUUCCAUCAAAGUUAUCUAUAAGAAAAUAAUGAGAGGGCAAACUAAAUUUUAGAAUCCAAUGAAUCUUCAAUGGGUAAUGCCAAAUCUAAACUUAAAAGUCACUCUAAUGUCUUAUUAGCUCAAGUUUAGUAGAAGUUUUGCUCUAAGUUCUUAGAUAUUACAAAAAUCCUAAACUACGGAUGGGAGGUAGGGUUUUAGAAUGAUGAAUCCCCAAGAAAUGAGGGUUUUGAGAUUGUUAAAUGGGAAUUUAGGGUCGAUUAUAUUCUUUUACAACUUUGCCCCUUGAUGAAAAUCUCGCUAUCCCUCGAUUGCAUGUGGAUCUUCCUUGAUCGCAGUUUCGUGGUCCUGAAUUCAAGCAAUCGUAGUCUGCUGACUUCUCCAGUAUUUAGCAUAAUAAGUGGCAAACUCACCACUUAUCAAUCAUCUCCAGUAUUUAGCAUAAUAAGUAAUUACACAGGAAUAACAAUAUAACAUAAGGCAUCAACACAUUCCAAUAUCACCAUGUAUAAUAGGUAACAAUACGGGAUAACAACUUAUCAUAGAGAAUCAACACAAGUAAUCACAAAUAUAAAAUUGGCUUCGAUACACCAAUUAGUGCAAAAAAGUAAAUAACUCAUCAGAUACUCCCAUAUGCCUGGAGAACACGCUAAAGGAUAGAAUAAGGAAAUCAACAACCAUUAUAACUAAUUUUCAUCAUCAUUUAUCAAUCAUCACAUAAUUAUCAUAGAUCGGUUAUUUACCAGCAUAAGGCAACCUUAUCAUUAAUUAUACACUAGUCCAUUAAUCAACUUAUCCAUCUCUUAUCACUAUUCAAUUAUCGGCAAGUUAUCUUAUAUCUACUAGUAAUCAUUAAUCAACUAAGCAUAAUUUGUUAACUAGUCAUUUUACCACUAGAGUCCAUUUAUGCUAUGCCAUAAUAUAACAUUUCCUCAUUUUUUGACUUAGCCAAGUUGCUUCAUUCAAUCUCAAACCCCGAUAUCAUUAAUCACUAAAAGCAUAUCAUCAUAGCAUAAUAUGCAUAUCUAGACUCAAACAGGUAAAUACAAUCAAUAGCUAGACUUGAAUUGGUAAAUAAUUAAUAUUCAAAUUUAACCGAUAAUUAUAAUCAAUAGUGUAAUAAUCUUCCUCUAGAAUCAAAUCGAGUAUAUAAUCAAUAGCAUAAUCAUCUUUUAGACUCAAAUCGGGUAUAUAAUUAGUAGCAUAAUUGUCUUCCAGACUCAAAUCAGGUAUAUAAUCAAUAGCAUAUUAACCUUUCAGACUCAAACCAGGUAUAUAAUCAAUCACAUAAUUAUAUUUCAGACUCAAACUGGGUAUAAAAUCAAUAAAUUAAUAAUAACAUAAGCAAUAAGCGUCAACCCUCACUUUAACCAACAUAGCCACUAAGUAUCAAGAUAACUCAAUAUUUCCUCAAUACACAUCUCCAAGAGUUUAAUAAGCAUAUAGGUUUAUAAAACUAACAUGUGUCAUAACCUAAAGUGGGAUAAGAGUUCGCUCCUAAUUCUCAAAAUUCAUAUUAGGCAAGUUCUACCUGAAUUAGGAUUAAGGUAUCAAAAUCCACUUUUAGAUCCUAAACUAGCCAUAAUUUGCCCUACGGUACAGAUCCUUCCCAAACACAUUAAAUAAGUCUAAUGGAACUAAGACAACCUUCAUUAGUGUAACUAACUAAGGCUAACUUACCCUAAGCAUGAGUAACUAGAGAAUUUUUACUAAAUCCUGAGUGGUCUAAGGCAUUGUCAAGCUAAACAUGAGUAAUGAAGUCCAAUUCACCUAAAGAAUAAAGAAACAACCUAAGUGUCCAACUCUACGGUUUCAAAAUGGCCUAAACGAUCCAACUAACCCAAGUAUUCCAUUUCAUAAAUCCAACACCUAAAACCCAUCACAAACCUAACAAAAUAUCAUAAGAACACUAUUAAAUAGGUCAAUCAAACAAGGGAUAAACUUAGUUUACCUCUAUGCUGAAGAAAACUCAAUGAACUGCUAAACCACUGAUUUUUCCUUUCGAGAAGCCUUUUAAGAUGCCAAGUAUCAAAAAAACAUUCUACACAUCAAUACGAGAAUAUUUAUUCCCAUAUUACACUAUUGUGCUUCGGUUUCAAAAACUAUACCAAAAACCCCCACGUAGGUCUCACUUAUAGAAAUCACAUUUUUGAAACCAAUCCAAUAUUUUUAUAAGCUCAACUAAUCAUUACCCUAAAAAAUGGGUGAAAAUAAAGCUAAACUGGGACUUAAAUCAAGCCCUAAGGGUAAUGGGGGUUUUCAGUAAGAAAAGAAGAAAUUUUACCUAGAAAAGGGUGAAUUCUUACCUUAAGUCGGAAGAUAAUCACAAAAAUGAAUGUUAGUCAAACUCCGAAGUGAUACGACCUGUUUGGGGGCCUUGUCGUAAUAGGUGUCCCAUGUCUGACCGAGAUCAGAGACCACCCUUUUACCCAACCCAACAUCAAAUCGCCUGCCCUGAGUUGGUUGAAUUCCGAGCAUAUAAUAAGAUAGUGUAACAACUCACAUGAAGACUCUAUGAUAGGAUCACAACCAUGACUAGCCCAACCGAAUCCAGCCAUCCCACAGCAAUAGUCUGACCGUACCAAACCAUUCCAAAGGCCAUAAAGCAAGCCAUAACCCAAUAAGUUUAAAAAUAGAAUAAAAUUAAAUGCAAAAUAAAAUAUGAUGGAACAACCAAUAAUAUCAUAAAUCAGUAUCAUCCCCAAGACCAUUGCCAAUGCUAAGGCUUGCACCAAUACUAAUCCUAUUAAUUCCAACCCAUAGCAGUACCAAAAAGCCUCUAGCCAAAAGAGUAACUAAAUCUGAUUGGGAUAUGCCCCCGACCAUGGCCAAAAAUAAUAUCCAAAAUAAAAUUAAAGUGUCUAGAAAUAUCCAUAUCAUGAAAUGGAGUCUUUUAAAAGGAUGGAAGCUCAUCAAUUUAAUCUAAAUGAUGAUCCUUAAUCAAUCCUUUUAGAGGAUGAGUAGAAUGGAUAAUUCUUGCAUAAUGUGGGUAUACAGUCGCCAGUAGACAGGUUAGCGGGUGAAUGCUACCAUGAUAUCUGGAUAAGGAUUAAAUAAUACCAUUUAUAAAGUUGACUAAAAACCAUGCAUAUUCACACAACCAUAUAUAUAUAUAUAUAUAUAACCAUGUUGGGAAAGAGAACUAGGUUUAGCAUGCAUUUAAAACCUUUACUUGGGUUGUGUAGCUUUGCCAUCCUAUGCCAUCCACGGCUAUAUGGGUUCAGCUCCCCCUAUUGAAAGGGCCCCAGUGCAUGAAGCCGCAUGACCAGGGAAGAAAACUUGGGUUGACUAGUACAUCUCCGAAAAUAUAGUGUGACAUCAUGAACACGAUCACUAUGACCAACCUUACAUCGACAAAUAUAAGUUUCCAAUUUUUAUCCCCUCGAGACCUCCACCUUCUAUGACUUUGCUACAUAUCCCGCCAUUAUUGCCCAAUUAAAACCAUUACCAAGCAACCAAUCAAUUCAUUUAGCUUUUAUUUACCAAGGCCAUUUAGUAGUGGUAUCGUCAUACUGAUCAUACUUGAAAGUACUAUCCAUAGCCAACCAUAUGUAGGGUCAAGGAGACUUCCAAGUGCCUUUCCAUUUACCAUAUUAAACCACUUAGGGGAAUGCAUAUACCCCACAAGCAUAACCAUUUAGACAUUUACCUUUCCAAGCCAUUUAAACCAUGCAUAAUUCCUUUACCAAGUUUUAAAAUAAGCAAGAGUUCCUUUAAAAGUACUCAAUCCAAUAAAAACAUUAUUAUAGUCAUUUUUGUUAAACCCAUUGGGGCAUAAUAUAACCAAAAAUGAUUCCAAUUACCAUUAAACCAUUCCCAUGCAAUCCAAAUAUCCAAAAGUACCAUUAAUGUACAUAAAGCAUAACUAAACCACGAAAAACCAUAACCAACCAUUUAAUAUCAAAACCCCCAAUUCAUAUUUGAAAACAAAAAUAAAACAAUCAAUGAAGUCAUGAAAACAUUCAUAAAAACCAUUCUUAUAGUGAGAAUUAAAAAUGAGGGAAGAGAACACGCCUUAAACCAAGAUGAUGAUCGAAAGAGAUCACCAAGACAAGGCCCAAAUUAAUACUCUAGUUGAAACCCUAGCAUCCCUUUCCCAAAAGUUUUUGAGAGAAUUAUAGAGUAUUUUAAAAGAGUUUUCUAAAUGUUAAUAAAUGGAAUAAUAGGGUAAAUAACCUCCCAAGUAGGUUAGAAAUUGUGGGACCUUAUUAGAAUAAGUGUAGAAAUAUCCAGAAUACCCUCACUUAAGUUGCACAAAAAACCCAUCAUAGGGGUACGACUGACCCUCAUGAGUCGUACCCUACAAUAUGAUUGGUACACUCCACUUAUAUCCUAGCCUCAACCUUUGGAUCCAACACUGUCCUAUGUACGACGUAUCCAACUAAGUCACAUCCGAAGUAUAUGAUCUGUACCUUUCAUCCGUAUCCUCGACAAAUUAAACCCAAGGAAAAUUUAGAUACUAUCCACCAUACGAGUGCAUAGUAAGACUCAUACCCUGGCUUACAGCUCAUGAUAACCACUUGUACUCAGAUCCAACCUAAGUAACCAAGUCUAAAAUUAAGUUAACAAACCAAAAAAUCUAUACCUACUAAUAUUACUCAUAUGUCUAAGUCGUAUACAUUCUUGUAACAAAAAUCUAUCCCACCAACCAACACUAGUAAGAAUAUGACAGGACUAUACUAUUUAUAUCCCAUUAUCUAGCUCGUUCCCAUGAGUUGUAUUGGGUCCAGAGACUAGAAUUCAAGGAAUUUUUCUAAGGGUCAAAACCCAAGGUAUUAUAGUCUCCCCCAUUAGGAACAUUCAUCCUCGAAUGACAGACAAGGUAGGGGUAACCACACAAAUGAGUCAUUUGUGUUAUAAAUAUAUUCCUAAUAUUUAACAAAGUUUGAAAACAAAGAGGCAAGAUAUGAAUCUUUACUUUAACAAACUCAUAAAAUAAAGAUGUGUUGAAGACACAUACCUUCCACAUGUUUCCCAGGAGUAGAAAACAAAAGAAGAUAUUGGGACUUUAUGUUCUCCUUCGCUUCCCAAGUAGCCUCUUCCACCUUAUGGUUCCUCCAUAGAACCUUAAUCGAGGCCACAUACUUGGUCUGCAAUAUAUGAACCUGCCUAUCCAAGAUCCUUAUUGGGUCCUCUUCAUAAUAUAGAGAGUCUGAGAUAACCACCCCUCUAAACACACAAUCGAAGAAGGAUUACUAAGACACUUCAUUAACUUGAAAACUUGAAUGAUCGGAGAACCAAGAUCAAUCUAGAAGGAAACUCCAAAUCGUAAGCCACAUUACCAACUCUCUGCAAAAUCUCAUAAUGACAAAUAUAUCGGGGACUGAGCUUCCCCUUCUUACCAAACCGUAUGACUCCCUUCAUGAGAGAUACCUUGAGAAAAACCUUAUCCCCAACCUCAAACUCAAAGUCUAUAUGCCUAACAUCCACAUAGGACUUUUAGCAAAUUUGGGCAGCCUUAAGCUUAUCUUGAAUCACCAUCACCUUUUCUAUAUCCUAGUAAACCAAGUUAGGAUCGAACAAUCCACCUCACAAAGCUCAAACCACCCAAAAAAGAUCUACACCUUCUACCAUACAAUGCCUCAAAAGGGGUCAUUUCAAUACUUGAAUGAUAGCUAUCAUUGUCAGAAAACACCACCAAAGGUAGAUGCUCAACCCAAUUGCCACCAUAAUUAAUAUCACAACCUCAAAGCAUAUCCUCAAUGUUUAAAUAGUUCUCUUCGAUUGCCUAUCCAUUUGUGGGUGGAAAAUGGUACUCAGACUAACCUUAAUCCUUAACUCUUUUGGGAAAAAUUGCUAGAAGUGAGAUGUAAACUGCGUGCCAUAAUAAAAAAUAAUCAAAAUAGGUACCCCAUAUAGCUUCACAAUCUCCUGAAGAUACAUCUUUGCAUAAUCCUCUGUCGAGAAGGUAAUCCGCACUGGCAAAAAAUGGGCAGACUUAGUCAUCUUAUCUACAAUGACUAAAUCGAAUUAUAUUGAUUCUGAGACCAUGAAAGACCGGUAACAGUCCAUAUUGAUCACUUUCUAUUUCCAUUCAGGAAAAUUAAUUUCUUGAUACAACCCUCUUGGCCUCAUGUGCUCAACAUUAACCUACUGAUAUACCAUCUAUGUUUUGAUAAAAUCAGCCACACCCCUCUUCAUGCCAUUUUACUAAUAGAUCUAUUUGAGAUCAUGAUAUAUUUUAGUCGAGCUGAGAUGAACAACAUGCAAUUCAAGUGCCUCAACUAAAUCUUUUGUUGUAAUCCGUCGACAUCAGGAACACACAACCUCUCUCGGUACUAUAAAGUACCAUUACCAUUAAUCUCAAACACCACUACCUUUUGUCCACCAAUGCCAUUUUUUUUCAUUAAGAUAGAAUCCAACACUUGCUUCUCCUUAAUCUCUGCACCAAGAGAAGAUCAAACCACUUCUUACACCACCACAUCAACAUCCUUGGAGUGCAAGAGGCGAACUCCAAGAUUAGCUAAAUAGAGAAUAUCCUUCACCAAUUCCUAAUUUCCUUCCUCCACAUAAGCCAAACUCCUUAUGGAUAACUUGCUAGAGCAUCACCAACUACUUUAGCUUUACCUGGGUGGUAGUAAAGACUCAUAUGAUAGUCUUUGAGAAGCUCAAACCAUCUUCUCUGCUUGAGAUUAAGUUUUUUCUAUGUGAACACAUACUGUUGACUCUUAUGAUCAAAAAAGAUAUCCACGUAAACAAAAUAUAACUAAUGCUACCAUAUUUUCAAAUCAAAUACAACCUCCAACAACUCCAAAUCAUGAGUAGGAUAGUUUCUCUCAUGUACAUUCAACUGCGUAGAAGCAUAGAAAAUCACCUUCACAUGCUGUAUCAACAUACAACAAAGCCCUACUCUAGAUGUAUCACAAUAAACCACAAACCCAUCUUUGUGUUUUGGCAAAUUAAAAAUUGGAGCUGAAGUUAACUUAUCUUUCAACUUCUAAAAACUCCCUUCACAAGUAUCCAACCUAAACAACUUGACCUUCUUAUGAGUCAACAUAGUCAAAGGAGCAACUAUCAAUGAAAAUCUUUCCACAAACAACCUACAAUACCCGGUUAAGCCUAAGAAGCUUUGAAUUUUGGAUGGAGCCAUGGGUCUAGGACACUUUUUCACCAUAAUGACCUUUUGUGGAUCCACCAUGCUCCCCUAAAUAGAAAUACUAUGACCUAUGGAAUUUAUAGCAUUCAACCUAAAAUCACAUUUAGAGAACUUGGCAUACAAUUGUUGUUCCUUUAAGGUUUGGAAUACCACACAGAGGUGAUUAACAUGAUCCACUCACUAUUUGAAUAAACCAGAAUGUUAUCAAUAAACACAAUAAUGAGAAGAUCUAAAUACAGACGAAAAACCCAAUUCAUUAGAUCGAUAAAUGUUGUCAGAGCAUUAGCAAACCCAAAUGAUAUUACCAAAAUCAUAAAGUACCCAUAUCGAGUACAAAAAUCCAUAUUAGGGAUAUCUACCUCCCUAAUCUUAAGUUGAUGGUACCACAAUCAAAGAUAUAUCUUAGAAAAAAACUUGGAAAAUUACAACUAAUCAAAUAGAUCAUCUAUCCUUGGAAGAGGAUACUUGAUCUUGACCAUCACCUUAAUCAACUGUCUAUAGUCAAUGCAUAUCCAAAGGAAACCAUCUUUCUGGCACACAAACAAUACUGAUGCACCCUAUGGAGUUAUAGUAGAACAAAUAAACCCCUUAUUCGAAAGACCCUUAAGUUUCUCAUUCAAUUUUCUCAACUCAGCCGAGCCAUUCUAUUUGGAGGAAUAGAAAUUAGAUGAGUGUCCGAAAGUAGAUCAAUACCAAACUUGAUUUACCUAUCCUAAGGAACACUAGGAAGAUCAUUCAGAAAGACCUCUGAAACUUAUUAAAAACUGAAACUAAUAGGAAAGAAAGACUGUGCGAGUUAGAAUCUUUAACUCAGAUAAUGUGAUAAAGAUAACUUUUAGACAUUAACCUCCAAGCUCUAAGAUAAGAAAUAAAUAUCCCCCUAUGAGCUAAUGAACCAUACACCUAUUCUAUAAACAACUCACCAGGGAACCUAAAGAUAACUCUAUGAGUCUGACAAUCAAAGGAUGCAUAAAAAGAGUACAAUCAACCCAUACCUAGAAUGACAUAGAAAUCCACCAUACCUAAUAUAAAUAGAUCCAGCAAGGUCUUCUUACCACCAACAGAUACCAAAAAUCCCCUAUAGACUAUCUUAGCAAUAAUCCAAUCACCUACCGCCUAAACUGAAACACCCAAGAAUAUGGCCUUGUAAGAAAAUUUUGGUUUUGAGUACGAUGACUAAGAUACGAUUGGACAAUCCAAUUGUACCCUUAGAUAUGGGUUGUAUACACUCUCCACUCCCCUUCUUUUAUAAGUGAAACCUAAUAAGGUAUCUCACUUUUCUCUAUAUGACUUAACAUCCCCUUUGUCUUAACCAAUGUGUACGAGUCAUAACCUACAUGAUCAUAUAGAGUAAAGUUUUAACUUAAGUGGAUUAUUUUCUAUACAGAUAAAGUUUACAAGUUAGAGGUUGAGUCAUACACUUUGGUUAUGACUUAAGGGUGUCCACUCAUACCUUUAACAAUAUAGAUGACCUAGGAGGAGCCUAGGAUAAGAUUAUUUAGGGAUCGUAUGGAAGAAUCGUACCCCUGGGCGGGUCAUUUUCCAACUUUUAACAAAGAGCCUUUUUGUUAUUUCACAUGCCUUAAGCAAUAAGCCCUCUCACUAUAUAAGUGUGUUUAGCCUCAUAAGCAUCUAUAGGGAUGAAUCAAAUACCUUAAACACUCUCUCAAGCUCAUUCUUAGAAGAUUAGAGGCUAGGGUUUCAAUGGAGCUCAUCUAGUGGGAAGAAGAAGUCUAGUUCUUGGUGAUUUAAGUUGUUUAAGGAAUCUAUCUCUUCCUAUUCUCAAAUAACUCUAAAACCUAUAAAUUUCACACUUGAAUUAGUAAUCAUACAUGGUAAUUUUGAAAUCAAAUGAAAAGGUUUUUGUUUCUAAAUGAUGAACAAUGAUGAUCCCUACUUAGACUUGUGUUAUUCAUGUUAUUAAUGAUGAUUUGCAUAUGUGGAUGCUUCUUGUAUAUUGUCUAACAUGUGGUUCUUGAGUAAACCCAAAAUUAAUGAUUUCUACUAUGCAUAUAGCCUUGUUGAAGGUAUGUACAUAGGGUUUUUGUAAAAAUAUUUAAGUAAAUAGUCUAGCCAUAUGCUUGUGUAUUUUGAACUAGGGUAAUGGACUAAUAAGCAUGAAUGAAUGAUAGAUGAUAUUGUAAAGCCACUUUGAACCAUGUUUUACUAAAUUUAUGAAAUUAUUGGGUUAAUAACUAAUAAGGGAUUGAAGCCCUAAACAUGAAAAUGAGCUUGAUUUGGGUGUAGAGUUUAAAUACAAUGAGAAUAUAGUGAGAGAUUGAUAAUAAACUAUGAAUGGUCCAAUCAGUAUCUAUAGAAUUGGUCUAAUAAACAUGAGUGAGUCAUGAUAAGGACUAAAUAAAUGUAAAUACUUGUAGAUGGUUGGUAAAGGCCUUAUUAGCCAUGCAUUAAGUUAUAAUGAUUGUAAAUUCUUUGUAAAUGCUUUAUAAAAACCUUGUUAAUCAUGUAAUAGACUAACUUAUUUAUUUAAAUGGGAUGAUGGUCCUAUAAGUAAGAAUGUUUAAUAUAUGGGAUUGUGUUAAGAAUGUUUAAUAUAUGGGAUUGUGUUGAUAUUAUUAGCUACGUAAUUUUUUAAUCUAUGACCUUGUUGGUUUAAUGGCUAAGAAGAGGGGUCCAAUUCCCUAAGUUUGAACUUGAAAUUUUGUGUGCGAAACUAAAAUGUGGUGUAGAAGUGUUAAUGAAUAAUAAAUGAGUUAGCAGGGGUCUUGAUGACCGCCGAUUGAAUCACUUGAUGGUUUGAAUUAAGGAAUCAGCCAAUUGAAAUGGUUCAACAAUAAUGGCUACCAUAAGGACCUCAUAGUCAUGUAUAAUGUUUAUUUAGCUAAAUUAGGUAAAGUCCUUAAAACGUGAAAUGAAUUAUAUCGGUGUCAAAGCAUGAACCAAUUGACAGAAAAUUCAAAUAUUGGCUAAUGAUACUAAUAUGAUGGCUUAUGGCUAAAGUCCCUUACCUUAUGAAAUGACUUGUGGUUAUAUUCCCUCGUCAAAUGACUUGUGAUUAGAAUCCCUCAUCAAAUGAAUUGUGGUUAGAGUCCCUCAUCAAAUGACUUGUGGUUAGAGCCCUUCAUCAAAAGACUUAUGGUUGGAGUUCCUCAUCAAAAGACUUGUAGUUGGAGUCCAUCAUUUAAUAAUAUGUGGUUGAAGUCCCUUUCUUAAAGAUAUCUUUUGAGGUUAAAGUACCUCAAAUAUGGAUUGGUGUAUGAUUAGAGUUCCAUGCCCGAUCGGAUGUAGAUAAGCAUAUGAUUAGAGUUCCAUGCCAAAUUGAAUAUGUGAGCAUGGAAUAAGAGUUCCAUGCCCAAUUGAAUGUGUGAGAAUAUGAUUAGAGUUCCAUGACUAAUGGUAUAUGUGAGCAUAUAAUUAGAGUUUCAUGUUUAAUUAUAUAUUUAAACAUGUGAUUAGAGUCUCAUACCUAAUUGAUUGAGUGCGUAUGGAUAGAGCCCUUGCUAUAAUGCAUAAAUAUGUGGUUAGGAGUCCCUUGUUUAAUGAAUAUACCCAUGAUUGAAGCACUUUGACUAAUUAUAUGUGAAUGUGAUUAAAUUUCUAUGCAUGAUAUGAAUGAGUUGAAACCUAAGUGUACAAUUUAGACUCCUUCACUUUAUGCCUCAUGAUUGAAGGAGUUGAGAACGUGGUUAAGUAUGGAUAUCUUAUUGGCAUAUGAUAUAUAUAUAUAUAUGUAUGUAUGUAUGAAAGGAUAAAUGUGUAAAUAUGAUUGACUAAAUUUAGGAUAUUGUUGGGUUAAUAACUAAUAAUGGAUUGAAGCCCUAAACAUAAAAAUGAGCUUGAUUUGGGUGUAGAGUUUAAAUGCGGUGAGAAUAUAGUGAGAGAUUGUUAAUAAACUAUGAAUGGCCCAAUCAGUAUCUAUGGAAUUGGUCUAAUAAACAUGAGUGAGUCAUGGUAAGUGCUAAAUAAAUGUAAAUACUUGUAGAUGGUUGGAAAAGGCCUUAUUAGCCAUGUAUUAAGUUAUAAUGAUUGUAAAUUCUUUGUAAAUGGUUUAUAAGAACCUUGUUAAUCAUGUAAUGGAUUAAAUUAUUACUUUAAAUGGGGUGAUGGUCCUAUAAGUGUGAAUGUUUAAUAAAUGGCGUUGUGUUGAUAUUAUUAGCUAUGUAAUUUUUUAAUCUAUGACCAUGUUGGUUUGAUGGCUAAGAAGAGGGGCCCAAUUCCCUAAGUUUAAACUUGAAAUUCCGUGUGCAAAACUAAAGUGUGGUGUAGAAGUGUUAAUGAAUAAUAAAUGAGUUAGUAAGGGACUUGAUGACCGCCGAUUGAAUCACUUGAUGGUUUGAAUUAAGGAAUCAGCCUAUUGAAAUGGUUCAGUAAUGAUGGCUCCCAUAAGGAGCUCAUGGUCAUGUAUAAUGUUUAUUUAGCUAAAUUAGGUAAAUUCUUUAAAAUGUGAAAUGAAUUAUAUGGGUGUCAAAGCAUGAACCAAUUGACAGAAAAUUCAAAUAUUGGCUAAUGAUACUAAUAUGACAGCUUGUGACUAAAGUCCCUUACCUUAGGAAAUGACUUGUGGUUAUAUUCCGUCAUCAAAUGACUUGUGAUUAGAAUCCCUCAUCAAAUGAAUUGUGGUUAGAGUUCCUCAUCAAAUGACUUAUGGUUAGAGCCCUUCAUCAAAAGACUUGUGGUUGGAGUUCCUCAUCAAAAGACUUGUGGUUGGAGUCCCUCGUCUAAAAACUUAUGGUUGAAUUCCUUUUCUUAAAGAUAUCUCUUGAGGUUAAAGUACCUCGAAUAUGGAUUGGUGUAUGAUUAGAGUUCCAUUCCCAAUUGAAUGUAGAUAAGCAUGCGAUUAGAGUUCCAUGCCUAAUUGAAUAUGUGAGCAUGCAAUAAGAGUUCCAUGCCUAAUUGAAUGUGUGAGAAUGUGAUUAGAGUUUCAUGCCUAAUGGUAUAUGUGAGAAUAUGAUUAGAGUUUCAUAUCUAAUGAUUUAUUUAAGCAUGUGAGUAGAGUCUCAUACCUUAUUGAUUGAGUGUGUAUGGAUAGAGCCCUUGCUAUAAUGCAUAAAUAUAUGGUUUGGAGUCCCUUGUUUAAUGAAUAUACCCAUGAUUGAAGCACUUUGACUAAUGAUAUGUGAAUGUGAUUAAAGUUCUAUGCCUGAUAUGAAUGAGUUGAAACCUAUGUGUACAAUUUAGACUCCUUCAUUUUAUGCCUCAUGAUUGAAGGAGUUGAGAAUGUGGUUAAGUAUGGAUAUCUCAUUGUCAUGUGAUAUAUAUAUAUGUGUGUGUAUGAAAGGAUAAAUAUAUAAACAUGAUUGAAUGCAAUACAUUGACUUAUGUAAAAAUGAUUGUAUAUAAUGAUUUGACUUGGAUUGAACAACUGUUCUAUUUAACCUUAUCCUUGGGUUACAUGAUAGUUCUCCAACCGCUAACUAUCUCUGGAUGCUAUUUCCCCAUAUGACAUAGGGGCCGUAGCAUCUUCUUUUUUUUUCUUCUACUUAUACAUAGUGAACAUGUGUUCGUGUAGUUCGGGCAUCGACCUUGUAGUGGUGAGUUUCCAUACUUUGGAAGGACUACCUUUCGUAGUCACAUUAUUUUAUGUUAUAGACUUGUAUAGAAUUAGUACUUGGCUAUUGUUGGGGCCAUGUCAUGAUAAAUUAUUUACUUCAAUUUGGUAUAGGUUUUGUGGAUGACUGUGGACUUGGGUAUUUUGGAUAAAUGGUCAACAUUAAUUAAAUGUUAGUUAUUGUCUAAUUGUUGACUAUUAGCCUUAUAUUUUUUCUAUCUUAUUAUAAGGUCAGAAUUUAUUUAACCCUCAUAGUUGUUUUGAUGAUGAUUAGGUUAGGUUAUACGGGCGACCUUCAGUUCAAGUGAACUUGAGGUUCCCAUAUGACAUGGACCAAUUUUUGGGCAUGUCUAGUUGGUAUCAAAUCCUAGGUUCAUCGUCAGUUGGGAGUCCACAAAUCCAUGUCAAGUAGAGUCUCUUUUAUGGGUGUUAAAUGCGCCAUACAUAUAAGAGAGGAGCUAUGAGGCAUUUAGGAAUAUUUCCCUUUCUUGUGUUUUAAUUCAAGUUAUAUAGAGUCUAAGGUCUUCGAUUCCUCUAAUUUCUGCUUGAUCGUCUUUUUGAUCAUGUAUCAAAUAAGAUUUGACGUUCAAGCAAGCUCUUCUAUCCCAAGUAAGGGAAAUAUGUAGACAUCUCAUCUAAAUUCUGGGAUUCAAACAUGGUCAAGGGUCAUAACUUCUAACUUUCCUCAUGGAACUCCACCUAUUCUCACUAACCCUACUAUUGGGGUUGGAACUCCCCCCAGUUACCUUAAAAUGCUGGGUUCGAUCACUCUUUUGCUUAGUUAGCUCAGUUUUGUGAAAGUGGUCCCGGAGGAAGUAUUGGGCAGGUCUUGGUUUUAUUUUUGUAGUUAGUUCUCCCACAUGAACCCAUUCGGAGUUGAGCACCUUCAAAUUAAUAUUGAUCAUAGGGAACAAGGUGCCCAACAUCAGGUUAGUAGGGCCCAAUCCUCAUUUACCUAUCCUCCUUUUUGGUUUUACGAUCGAUCACACUGUGGUUGUUGCAUCGGGAUGGGUCUUAUUUAUGACCUAGGUGUUUAUUAUGAAUCACUCCGUACCUAUAGUGUCGUGUCUCUAGUGAGGGUCUUGCCUUGAGCAGCGAAAGUAGUUCUUGUGCUUUAGUUCCUCCGUGAUGCUUCUUGUGUUGGUUAGCAGCUCAGAGAGCUUGGUGAUGUUUGGAAAUGGGAAGUGUAGAAGUUCAUAAGUGGAGGGAUAUUCUAGGUUGUUUUUUAUGGCAUUGUAUAGUACGAAACAUUGUUCUCCCACUUAUUGGUAUGAAGUUGAUAGGGGUAAGUUACUUUACCCCAAUUUCACCAUCCUUAGAGAUGGUGGAGGUGAUUCAUGAGAGGUUGAAAACUACUUAAAGUCACCAAAAUUCUUAUGUGCAUAUGUGUCAUAGGAGUUUAGAGUUUUGUGUUAGAAAAUGGGUAUUCUUGUAGGUGUCUAUCAUGAAGUGAGUGGUACGAGUCAGUAAUAAGGCGGAGCUUAGUCUUUGUUAUGUUAGUCCCUAUUUGGUCUUGAAGGGGGUAUUAAUAUUUCCUAUAAGUUGGAGUUACCUUCUAGGUUGAGCUCCAUUUUCCCAUGUUUUUCAUGUUUUUAUGUUGCAAAAAUGCAUAGAUGAACCUUCAUUAAUGGUUUUCCCUUAUAGGGCAUUGCUAUUAUUUUGUUUCUUGCUUUUUGAGGUGAUGCCAAUGAGGAUCUUGGGAUGGUAGGUUUUCCAAUUGCCAAUGAUAGGAGUGGCUUUGGUGAAGGUUCCAUGGGGGAACCAAUAGUCAGAGAAAGUUACUUGGGAGGUGGAAGUGGACAUGAAUUCCAAGUAUCCAUAAUUGUUUACCAUUUUGGAAACUCAUGCUUAAGAUGUGCGAUGCUGUUCCUAAUGUGGUAUAUGUCUUUGGUAGAAGAUGGGUGAAAAUCGGAUGCUUAGAAAUGAUUAAUGUUCUUGUUAGAUAAGGAUUUAAUUUCCCAAUGUUUGAGUUGCUUAAUAUCCUUGAGAGUCGAUGAGUUUAAGCCCUAAGCUUUGGAUUGGUAAACUAUUUUGAUGAAUGAUAGGAUUCAACUCCAAAGAUCUAUGAAAUGAAAUGGUUGAUUGACGAUGAUGAUGAUAUAUGUUGUGUUAUAACCUUGUUGUGUGCUUGGUUAAUAUUUGUUGAAGGUUCAUUCAGUGUUUACUAAUGUGUUAACUUGUGUUCAUGCUUCCUUGCCCAUCAUUCAUGGAUGAAUGAUCCUAAGUGGGGGAGAAUGAAACACCCAAGAAUGUGGCCAUACAAAAAACUUUUCGUUUUAAACAUGAUUACCAAGAUACGAUUGGACAAGCCAAUCGUACCCUUAGAUAUGGGUGGUAUCCAUUAUCCCCUCGCUCUCUCUUAUAAGUGUAUCCUAGUAGGGUAGCUCACUUUCCUCUAUACGACUAGACCUCCCCUUAGUCAUAACAAAUGUAUAUGAGUCAUACCUUACAUUAUCGUAUGAAGUAAAGUUUCAACUUGAGUGCAUUGUUUUCUAUAAAGAUGAAGCUUUUGAGUUAGGAGUUGAGUCAUACCCUUUGGUUACAGCUUAAGGGUGUCCACUCAUACCCUUAACAGUAUAUAUUACCUAGGAGAAGCUUAGGGUACGAGUAAGGGUACUACUUAUACCCUAGGGUACGAUUACUUAGGGAGUCAUAUAGGUGACCCGCACCCCUAGGUAGGGUAUUUUCAACCUUUUAAUUGAAGGCCUUUUUAUCAUUUACCCUUCCCUAAAACUUAAGCCCUCUAUGUCUAAUUGAAUAAGUUAGCAUGUGAUUAGAUUCUUAUGCCUAAUUGAUUGUGUUCGUAUGGAUAGUUCCUCGCUACAAUCGAUAAAUAUGUGGUUUGGGGUCCCUUGUUUAAUAAAUGUACCCAUGAUUGAAGCACUUUGUCUAAUGACAUGUUAAUUUGAUUAAAGUUUUAUGCCUAAUAUGAACUAGUUGAACCUUAGUGUGGAAUGCUAGAGUCCUCCAUUUUAUUCCACAUGAUUGGAGUAGUUGAGAAUGUGGUUAAGUAUGGAUAUCUCGUUGGCAUAUGAUAUAUAUAUAUAUAUGUAUAUAUAUAUGUAUAUAUAUAUAUGUAAGGAUAAUUGUGUAAAUAUGAUUGAAUGCGACACAAUGACUAGUAUAAAAAUGACUGUGUAUAAUGAUUUGACUUGGAUUGAAUAAACCUGCUAUUUUAUCCUUAUCCUUUGGUUACAUUCUAGCACUCCAACCGCUAACCGUCUCCAGAUGUUAUGUCCCCACACUAUUUAGGGGAUGUAGCAUCUACUUCUUCCACACAAUGAACAGGUGUUCGUCCAGUCCGGUCAUUGGUCUUGAAGUAGUGAGCUUCCAUACUCCGAAAGGCCUACCUUUCAUAGUCACGUUAUUCUAUGUCAUAGAAUUUUAUAGAAUUAGUACUUGGCUAUUUUUGGGGGCAUGUCCUGACAUAUAUUGACUUCGAUUUGGUAGAGGUUUUAUGGAUGAUUGUGAGCUUGGGUAUUUUGGCUAAAUGGUCAACAUUAAUUAAAUAUUAGUUAUUGUCUAAGUACUGACUAUUAGCAUUAUAUUUCCAAUAUCUUAUUAUGAGGUAGGAAUUAAUCCGACCCUCAUGAUUGUUUUAGUGAUGGUUAGGUUGGAUUAUUGAGGCGACCUCUAGUUUAGGUGAGCUUGAGGUGCCCAUACGACAUAGAUCGAUUUUGGGGCGUGUCAACAGUUGACAAAGCACCAAUCGUACCCUGCUAAACUUGAGUAGUGACCAUAUAAGCAAUAACAUGAAUAGACUGAUCGAAUUCUGCAUUAGUCACCUCGCCUUGAGGAGGACAAGUAGAAAUUGGUGGAGCUCCAGAACUAUAAGACACAGGACCGUGAGAUCAAAGAUGAACCCCAAAUGUAGGAUGCACCCCUUCAGCAUCUCCCCAGAUGGGAUAGAGAAUUUCCUCAUGUUCCAGAUCUACAAGACAUGAUCUGAAAGAUGAACAAACAAGGAUUAGAGAAGAUCUAAGGACUGAGACUCAAAUCUUGAAAAUAGAGUACCAAGAAAGUGAAACAUUCCUAAAUUCCUUGAAGCCUCUCCCUUAUGAAUGUGACAUGCUACACACCACUAAAAGAGACUUUACUCGACACGGCUUUGUGGCUCCCAAUUGACCAUGAACCUAGUAUCUAAUACCAACUUGACAUGACCCGGACGGGGCCGACCGGGACCGGAGACCACCCCCGUUACCCAACCCAACCUCCAACCGCUUGCCCUAUGUUUGCUGAAUUUCAAGCGUGUAAAAAGAUAGUGCAGCAAAUCACAUGAAGACUCUGUGAUAAGAUCAAAACUGAGAUUAGCCCAACUGAGUUCAACCAUCCCACACCAACCUCGCAACCAUACCAAACCAUUCCAAAGUCGAUAAACUAGGCCAUAACCCAAUAAGUUCCAAAACAUAAUAUAAGUAAUCCCAAAAUAAAAUACAAUGGAAAAACAAACAAUAUUAUCAACCAGUAUCAACCCCAAUGCUAAUGCCAAUGUUAAGGCAGGUAUCAAUACGGAUCCCGCCCCCAUAUUAGUACCAUAAAGCCUCUAACCAAAAAAGUAAUAAAAUCUAGUUAGUUCAUGCCCCCAACCAUGGCCAAAACCAAUAUCUAAAAUAAAAUAAAAGUGUAUAGAUAUAUCCAUAACAUGAAAUGGAGCCUUCUGAAAGGAUGGAAGCCCACCACUUCAAUCCAAAUACUGAUCCCCGAGUUAAUCACUAUGUAGGAAGAGUAGAACAAUCGGUUCCUGCAUAACAUGGGUGUAUAGCCGCCAGUAGAUGGGUUAGAGGGUGAACGCUAGUAUGAUAUCAAGAUAAGGAUAAAAUAAUUCCAUUUAUAAAGUCAUGUAAAAUCCAUACAUUGCACACAACCAUACAUACAUAUAUAAAUAUAUACAUAUAUAUAAAUAUAUAACUAUGCUAGAAAAUGGAACCAUAUUUAACAUGCAUUUAAAACCUUUACCUGGGCUGUGUAGCUUUGCUAUGCUAAAUAACCCAUGGGUUAUAUGGGUUCAGCACCCCCUGCUGAAAGGGUCACAGCAUGUGAAGCCACGCGACCAAGGAAGAAAACCUUGGAUGACUAGUACAUCCCCCAAAAUAUAGUGUGACAUCAUGUACACGAUCAGUAAAACCAACCUCACAUCGGAAAAUAUGAGUUUCCAAUUUUUUUCUCCUUGGGACCUCCACCUUCCAUGGCUUGGCUACACAUCCUGCCAUUAUUACCCAAUUAAAACCAAUACCAAGCAACUAAUCAACCCAUUUACCAUUUAUUGACCAAGGACAUUUAGUGGUGGUAUCAUCAAACUGACCAUACUUCCAAGCACUAUCCAUAGCCAACUAUAUGUAGGUUUAAGGGAACUUCCAAAUGCCCUUCCAUUUACUAUAUUAAACCACUUAGGGGAUUCCAUGUACCUAAUAAGCAUAACUAUUUAUCCAUGUACCUCUGCAAGAUACUUAAACCAUGUAUAGUUCCUUUACUAAGUUGUAAAACAAGCAAGAAUUCCAUUAAAAGUACUCAAUGCAAUGAAAACAUUAUUAUAGACAUUUUGUUAAACACAUUGGGGGCAGAAUAUAACCAUAAACAAUUCCAAUUACCAUUAAACCAUUCCCAUUCCAUCCAAUUAUCCAAAACCACCAUUAAUGCACAUAAAUCAUAAUUAAACCAUGGAAAACCACAACCAACCAUUUAAUGUCAAAACCACCCAUUCAUAUUUGAAACCAAAAAUUAUAAAAUCAAUGAAGUCAUGAAAACAUUCUUAAAAACCAUACUUCUAGUUAGAAUUAAUAAUUAGGAAAGAGAACAUGCCUUAAACAAAGAUGAUGAUGGAAAGAAAUCAUCAAGACAAGGCCCAAAUUAAUUCUCUAGCUGAAACCCUAGAUUCCCUUGCCCAAAAAAUCUUUUGAGAGAAUUAUAGAGUGUUUUAGAAGAGUUUUCUAAGUGAUAGUGAAUAGAAUAAUAAGGUAAAUAAUCUCGCAAGUAGGUUAGAAGUUGAGAUACCUUAUUAGGAUAAGUGGGGAAAUAUCCAGAAUACCCCCACUUAAGUUGCACUAAAAUCCCAUCACAGGGGUAUGAUUGACCUUCACGAGUUGUACCCUCCAAUAUGAUUGGUACCAUCCACUCCUAUCCUAGCCUCAAAUUUUGGAUCCAACACUGUUCGAUGUAUGACUCAUCCACCCAAGUUUUAUCUAAAGUAUACAAUUCGUACCUUUUAUCCAUACCUUUGAAAAAUUAAACCCAAGGAAGAGUUAGACAUUGUCUACCAUAUGAGUCCAUAGUAUGACUCCUACCCUGGCUUAUGGCUCUGAAUGAUCCACUCGUACUCAGAUCCAACCUAUGAAACUAAAUCUAAGAUUAAGUUAAGGAAAUAAAUGAUCCAUACCCACCUAUACGACUCGACCUAAGUCAUAUCUAUUCUAGUAACCAAAAUCCAUCCCACCAACCAACACUAGUCAGCAUAUUAUAAGACCAUACCAUUCAUACCCCAUUAUACAGCUCAUCAUAUUAGAUCUAGAGACCAUAAUUCCAUGAAAUUUUCUAAGGGUCAAAACCCAGGGUGUUAUGCCAAGUCACCAACAAGUCUUAAUUUAUAGAUAUCUCACUUUUUAGGUUUUUUGCUCUAAAGUAAUGGGUGAAAAAUGGCUAAAAUCCUGAGAUUGAAGUUUAUUUUAUAACCAUAUAGGUUCUUGGGUGCCGCUAUCACUGUCCGAGAACUGUGAUCGCAACUCAUUGCUUCUGAAAGAGAUGUUGUGAUCACAACACUUCCUAGUGCAACCACACUACCAUCUCCUACAAAGGUACCACAAUUGCGGCCCUUAGCUUGCGAUUGCAGCUGCACCAGAUAGUAACUUAAACUUUGAAAUUCUUUAAAGUUUUCAUCAGGUCUUUGGGAUUCAUUUGAAAUCUCAUAUACAUAAACAAACCAUGUAACCAUACCAAAUUUGAUAUUUGGAUUUGAUAGUACACUUAAAAUUUCCAUCUGAGGUCAUUUCAAUCCAAUAUGGGUCCCACACCUAUAUUUAUGAUUUAUCAACUUUCCAACCAGUAUGUCAAAAUAAUAUCGGGUGCCUCGAGACCCAAACCACAGGUCUACCAAGCCUAAAUUGACCUUUCAAAGUUGUUGGCACAGUCAAAAUUUGCAAAUAAGGUCAUUUUACUGAUAUUUGUGUUCUGUGGUCAUUUGGAACCUACGAAGACUUCAAAAUAGGGGAUUGACUCUAAAAAUCAAAUGAACUGCCCAGUAACCAAACUGUUAUCUCUAGCAUAUCAUAAAUGACUUAGGUAAGAUAUUGAAAAGUACUAAUAAAAAAAUAAGUAGAAAUAUUAAAAAUAACCUGAAGGGUUUUUACACACUUUCAUAUAGGUAAAGGCAUCCCGAUGAAAUGUAGGGGUUCACCACACUAUGAGGACCAGGUCCCUUAAAGUCAGUCAUAAGAAAUAACACUGAAAGGCUAUAAGAAAGAUAAAAAUUUGUAGAAAUUUUAAAACACAAAGAUUUAACGUGGAAACUUCCUUGCUCAAAUGAGGAAAAGCCAUUGUUUGCCCUCACAAGUACUUCAACAAUCCACGUUAAUCACCCUCUUCAUUAUAUAUUUGAUUUGAACCUAAAUCUAUGCUCCACAUGCUUGUAAUAACUCUACUACAGCCUACCUUGGCAACUCUUCCAAGAACACACCCAACUCUAGGUUGCACCUGCUUGUAAUAACUCUAUUAGAAGCCUACCUUGACAUAUCUACCAAGAACACAACUCCAUACUAAUUACCUCUAACCAAUAUUGAACUUAGGAAACUCUAUCUAAGUAUACUUUAAUAAAAUAGAGAAAACUCCACUCUUAAAACUUGAGUAAUUCAGUUUCAGACCAAAACUAGACUUAAGAACUCAUGCCCUAUUUUAGUAUAUAAAGAAUUGAGCUUGUGUAGUGUUGCAAAAUUGAGUUUUCACUUCUUUCAUUCUUUGAAUAAUCAGGAUUGUGAAAAUUGCCUUGUUGAGAAACAUUCUUUUUCUUUUAUAGUAGAGUAAUGAUUAGGGUAGAAAUCUGAUGGGGAAAAGUGUUCUAACUGGUACAUAUCCGACCUGCACAGUGGAUUACAUUAGAGAACAAAAUUGUACAGACCUUGUGACAAUAGUAUUUUUUAAUGAAGACUCGGGGACCUAGUCUCUUGUAGUCAAUUUCUCAUAAUAAAAAAGAUAUAGCAAUUUUCCCUCUUUUGAUUAUGACAAACCACAAAACUUGAGAAUCAAAUACUUUCACCUUUUUUAGUCAGAGUAAUUACCUCUACUAUUACUAAAUGUUCCCUCUAUCACUUUACACUUUACUUCCCCUUGUCAAUAUAUUUGUUUUCAUCAAUGUGCAUUUGAGCAUUCUUCCCCCUGUCAAUAUGCUAGAUUUACUUCAUUGUUUUGGCAAUUAGCAUAUACAUUCAACACAUAUCACCUAUGCACUCUUGGUACCUGGUGCCUAAUACAAUAUGUGGUACUUGGUCCCUAAAACAUCAUGUCAUGUCAUGUCAUGCAACACACAUGGUCCCUAUCAUAUGAGUUCAAUAUUCCCCCUUUUGGCAUGAUUGAAAAAAGAAAUAACAGUAAACCAAAGAUAGAGUAAGCAUAUACUAGCUAACUCAAGGCCGCUGGGGCAAUGCCAGCAUAAAGGAACAACUUUAAAAAUAAAAAAGAGAUAGAUAAAACACACAAGCAAAGGAUUCAUUCAUUGUUAAGAGAGAUUAGUACCAUUGCAUUAUACUAUAAUAAGCGUAAAAGUUCUGAUUCAUCAAAAUCCACACUAAUAAUAAGGAUUAGAAACUGACACACAGAGAUGACAAAGUGACACAGGAAUGAUAGGACUUAGGAAAAAGGGGGAUUAUGAGAGAAGGACUUCAGCAACAACUCCAUUCUUGAACUCUCUAUAGCAUGGACAUUUAGCAAUUAUUUAGUGAGUUCUUUAAAUUCUGCAUUCAUACUAGGAACCUCUUGAAUGAGUUCUACAACCUUGAUCUUGAGGUUUGCAAUUUUAGCUGUAAGUUCUUCUGAGGCACCGGGUCUCUAUAGGGAUAUAUUUUGAUUCGACAUCUUUAAAUGCACUAUAUCAACAUCCUUUGUAACCAACUAGACCCUCAUCUCCUUUACCUUCUUAUUUAAAUUCUCUUGAGCAGCCAUAAGUUUUGAAACUUGGGACACAGUUCCUAUCUUUUCUUCAAUGCAUUCAUUUUCCACCAACAUUGUCAAACUAAAUUAAUUUACUAUUCCAGGCAUUCCUUUAGUCCCAAUGACUCAAAAGUAGUCAAACACUUUGUUCAAGAAAUACACAUAUGGCAUCCUGUGUCUUUUUUCUUUCUCAAAAAUCACUUCGUUCAUGUGAUCUACAAUAAGAGUAGCGAGACUUAUCAGAUCAAAUUUGCUCAAACAUUCAAUCAGGAACAAACCAAUAACAGAGGGAAUGGUCUUUCUUUUUUAUCUGGGCAAAAUUUCCUUAUUUAUAAAUUCAAAUUGUAAUUGAAACUCACAUGUGAUAAAUUCCUUCAUCACACUUGCUAUUGAUGUUCUUCCUACUUUAGAAGUAUCUAUCGUGAACUCAGUUGAGGGUUGUUCCUUUACAACAGUCCUCACCCCUAUUACAAGCACAUCUAGGAUUUUCCCUAGUAACUUUUCAUCAAGUUUGACUUGUUUUCCUUUCACUAUGGUAGCCAAGAUUAAAACAACAUCUAAGAAUUACAUAGCAUAAUAGAAUUUUCUUUCCUUACCCUCAAGGACUAUGGCAGUUAGUUCCUUCAAGAGGUAUAGCCAUCCCUGGUGUUCCACAUAUUCUAUUAAUUCAGCCAUGCCUUGAUUCUCAUAAAUCCUAGGAUCAAACACUCUCCCAAAUAAUACAUUCUAUGUUUUUAAAAUAUUAUUUCUUUUCUCACUUGACCUGACCUUUAUUUCUUCCUCUUUUCUUCUUCUCUUGAAAUCACUGCAUGGCUUCUCUUUUUCAACAACUAUUCUCUUUUUGGGACCAGGUCCCUUAGAGAAUUUUUUUCUUUUUCACAGAAAUAUGCUUCUACUUAAUUCUUACAAGGCUAUCUGACUUUGAAGGGAAGGACCUAGUCCUUCUUGAGACAUAAAUUUUUUGUUUUUUUCUAUAUUGUCAAAGUAAUAUCACGAUCAAUGUUUCCACCCUCUCUUAACUCUACAACUUUAAUAUUCUCCUCAUCCACUACAACAAAUUUCUUGAUUCUUCUUCUCUUAAUAUUAGAUGACUUGGUAGCCUUCAUAGUAUUGACUAACAACUUCUUUUCAAAUCCUCUGGUAGAAUAAGAUCUAGCAAUUUUUACACCAGAAUCGAUUGCUUUCUCCUUGCCUUUACUACCUCUUUGUUUUUUCAUAGGCUACCUCAAAGGUAUUUCAUCCUCAUCCUCCUCAUUUAGAGGUAGCACAAUCUCUCUAUCCUUAGCUAGAUUAUUCUUCUUACCAACUGUUUGCUCUUUAGUACUAAUUGAGCUUUCCUUGGGAUCAUAUGUAAGAAAAAGCAAGUUCUUAGCUACCCAAUCUACAUUUCUAGAUAGAUCAAACCUCUUUACAAGAGUUUUUUUAUCACAUAAUAGAGAAAAAAUAGGGUUUGAUUUAGAGGAAGUAGGGGAACCAGGUACUUGAGGGAUUUUUGGGAAUUCAGUAUUUUCUGGUUCCUUCGAAAAAAUAGGGAUUUGAGGGUUUAUAAGUAAUUUAGAUUAUUUUGGGAAGGGAGAAAUUUCAUAUUGAUAAGUUUUUUAUUAAAUAAAUAAACCAAACCCUUGAUUUAAAUCCUCUAUCAAGGUUAAUUCAAUACAAGUUUCGAUGGUUGAGGAUGUUAUAACACGGAUAGGCUAGGUUAAUGGUUGAGGAUUUUCUAGAGAGGACUCAAUAAGAAGAGUUGACAUAGAUUAUUAUUGAGGACUUAAGGAGAAGUCUCUACAGUUUUGGAUAUUAAGGGAUCAAAAGAAUCACUUUGUGAUUGUUCUGAUUACCUUUUUUGAGCUUUAUAGACUUUAGGAUCUUUUUACAGAGGUUGAGAAAGAGGAAAUGUUCGCCAUUAUAAUAUAUUAUGAGUUAAAGAGCAAAGGAACAGUUUGAUUCAAAGAUGAAGGACAAUUGGAAAAGAUGAAUUGAUUUAACUUUUGGAAGAGAAUAGAAUAAGAUAUCUUUAGUUUGGAGAUUUGAGGGAAGUGGUCAUUGUCAUCAAAGGUGCCCUUUUUGAGAUGACGCAUCUUACUUUAGUUGGGUGACUCUUCCAUUGCUUAUGAAUUGAUGGUCUUUGCUCAAAUAAGACAUGGCGCAUUGCUUUUUAGAUAAAAUUUCAUGAAUAUUAAAGAACACUACUUUGGUACUAACCUUUAGAGAUGGGACAAGGUCCCUUUCUUUCUUUAAAGAAUCCUAAAUCUUGUACAAGCCAUGUUUGUCCUCUUCUAAAGUUAUUGCCAUGGGUGUAUACCUUCAAAGGUAUAGUACUGAGUUAUACCAAAAUAUUCUUACUUUACUAAGGAAACCUAUCUCCUGGUCAUAGCUAAAUUUAGGAAGAGAACUGGAUCAUUUAGUAGGUCAGAUCAAUUUGAUCAAUUCCAGCUUUAACUUGUUUGUUUCGAUACACCACUUUAUUCCAGAGAUAGUUUCAAAAAUAGAUUUGAAGACUAAAUCCCAUAAUUGGCAUCCUUUAAAUUUCCAACAUUCCUUCUGCAUUGCCUUUAAUUAGCUAGCAUCUUUCAGAAUCUUCUUUCACCUUUUUAGCUUACUUUGGGGACAGAAAGGCUAAGUAGACCAUUGGAUUUCUGAAUUAAGCUCUUGUUUAGAACCCAGAAUCUAAAAGAUGAAGUCAUAAUGUCAAGAGAGAAUCUUUCUAUCCAGUUAGACAUUUUGAGAUAAGUUUUAUAGGGACCAAGUCCCUAAAAAGCUAGACUGGAACCUUCAUGAUAUUUCUUCAACUGGAGAAGGGGUUUGUAACUGAUAUCUUGGAUCAUCAUUCAUCAUUUCCUUCUUUAAAAAAUUGUCCUUGACCAUCAUCAUUAUCAACAUCUUCCCUUUAAAUAGGAAUGAGUUCUUCAAUGUCAGAAUCUUCAUUAUCGCCCUGAUUCAUUAGCUAUCCUAACUCAUCAAGGACCAUAUGUACAUUUUCAUCAACACAUAGAGUUUAUUUGAUGAAAACUCUAUAUGCUUAUCUUAUUUAGAUGUUUCCCAUACAUACAACUUUCUCCUUCACUUAAGACUUGUUCCCAGGAAAUUUCAAUUUUGGCAUUCCAAGGACCAGAUCACUUGAAAUUAACUAGUUCAACAUAAAGAAACUUGUAUGUCCCAUAAGUCAGCAUCUUAAUGUUAAACACCAUAGUAAGUUACUACCCAUUACCCAUAUAAAAUUCUUAUCCUUUUUACCAUUUCCACAUGAGACACCUCCACCUUAAAGUGUCUUGAGAGAGAGAAUAAAUUCAGACUUUGUAGUCAUAUGAUUUGAAUAACAACUAUCAAUGAACUUAUUCUGACUACAAAACCCUUUCUCCCUCCUACAAACAAAAUCAUUUGUUAGAUUAGGGAACCUACUUGAGUUUGAGUUCCUUGUAGGAUGAAAAGGGUGUAAUCAAAUCCUAAUUGGCCUAUAUUCAUAAUAAGAGUUUCUUCAUAGUUUUCAAAAGUCUGGAACCCUUAGGAUAGGUUUAUCCUUGCUGGAUAUAUCUAACACUACUCAUUCUAUCUUUAUUCAAACUUUUAUAGUUUUUCUUCAUGUGACCAUCUCCCCUACAAUGAGUGCAUAGAGGUUUUUGAACUUUGUUUUUGAAAUAUUGAAUAGCUUUGAUUGAAGACAUAGGUGAUUGUGUUUUUUACUGAUACCCAAUACCCUUACCAUUUUUGACACCUUGACUAGUAAAAUUAGAAAGGAUCUAUGAGGAUUUGGUCCGCUGAAGAGAUUUACUAAAUUCUUCUCUUAGAUGGACCAUGUCCCUUGCUAACUUAUCAUUAUUUUGGAGUGCAUUCAUGAGAUUCUUUUGGGAAUCCUUCAAUUUUUCUUCAAGAUCAAUUAGAAACUUUGAGGUUCCUUUCUUUCUUUUACCAUUUGAAUCAUCUACUUCCUCUAGUUGACUUAUCAAACUCGGAUUUUUAGAUUUCAACUUUAAAAAUUAUUCCUCAGUUUCAAAUAUUUUGGGAUUUAAAAUAUUUAAUUUAAACUCUUGAUCUUCUAGAACAUUUUUCUCAACAACCAGUUCACACAUAGAAUCAAUCAACACAUUAGAAAGCCUUUUUUAUCUUUCUAGUAGAGUGGUUUUCCAAGUUUUCUCUAAUGUUAGAGAGAGUUACCUCACUUUUUUCUUCAUCUUUAAUGUUUUCUAUGAGAUAAAACAAGGAAUUAAAGGUUACUUUCUCAUCAUCCACUUCCAACGUGGAAACAUCUUUAUGCUUCCCAUCUUCUUCAAAUUCACUGGAAGAAUCCCCCAGAGAGCUAAGCUCUUCUUAACUACAAAAUUAGAUGCAACCUUUCUUCUUGAUUUUAUAGAGACCUAUUUCCUUCUCUUACCUCUGUCAACUCCAGUCUUGUGGUAUCACUGUUAAUCUAUUUUAUGCAAAGCACAAUCCUUGAUGAAAUGUAAGGAUUUCCACAUUUGUGACAAACUUUAAGAGAGCCUCCCUUCUUGAUUCUGCUUCUUCUUCAUUAAAACUGAUUACUUAUCUUUAUUGACCUAAAAAUUCUUCUUUCCAUAUAGGGAGUAUCAGUUUCUGCUUCACAUAAAUCUGACCUACAAGCCUUCAAUUCUAGAGAUUUUACUCUUUUUACUUCCUUCUUCUCUUGCCCUUGAUGCUUCUUGAGUUCAUGUGUCUUCAGAUUAACAAUAAGCUCAUCCAUAGUGAUAUUUUUAGGUUUCUUGCCUCAAUGAUAGCAUCCACUUUGCUUUCCCAGGAUUUAGGCAUAACUCCCAAAUAUUUUUCACCUAUUUGUAAAAGGAAAUCACUUUUUCUAAAUAGUGCAACUCAUUGGUGAUUGAAGUGAAUAUUGUAUGAAUAUCUUAUAUAGUAUCUCCUUCUUUCAUGGCGAAGGUUUCAUACUAAGUAGUUAGCAUAUCAACUUUUUUAUCCUUCACAUAAGUGGUUUCUUCAUGAGCAGUAAGCAAUCAAAAAUUUCUUUAGCAUUUUCAAAAGCAGAAAUCCUAUUGUAUUCAUCAAGCCCUAUACCACAAACUACCAGUUUCUUGGCCUUAGAAUUCUUCUCAACUUUCCUUCUAUCUUCAUCAUCAUAUUCUUUCUAGAUUUUUAUAACUAUACUUGUUAUGUCUCCUUCGUUGACCACUUUAACAGGAAAACUAGGACCAUUAAAUAUUAUAUCUAUCAACUCACUAUAGUCAUCCAUAAUAAAGUCAAACAUCCUGGUUUUCCACCACCUAUAGUACUUCCCAUUAAAUUUUUGUGGUCUAGUGGUAGAUUUACCUUCUUCCAAAUUAGGUGGAGCAGCCAUGAUAACCAAAUCACUCUAGGUGUGAACCUUUUAGAGUGUUCUGGCUCUGAUACCAAUUGAUAAAACAUAGUGGUUGCACCAUACUAUUAGUGACCAGGUCCCUUAAAGUCAGUCAUAUGCAAUAACACUGAAAAACUGUAAGAAAGCUAACACUUCACAGGAAUUUAAAAACACAAAGAUUUAACAUUGAAACCUCCAUGCUCAAGGAAGGAAAAAUCACGUCUUUCCCUCACAAGAACUUCAACAAUCCACUAUAAUCAACCUCUUGAUUACAAAUUUGAUUUGAACCUUACUUAUAAUGCCCCAGGUUUUGGUCAAUAAAAUUUUCUGAGGUCUAAGCUUUCUGCCCUAUUAACAACUCACCUAAUGAGUCAUAAUAUGUCUUGAUGGUUCAGGUGACCAUAGCCGUAAUGUGUCCAGUAAAUAGUGCUUGAGUUACUUUCCUGAAUACAAUUUGGGUGUACGAGUCGUAGGAAAUCUUGACAGGUCCUAUGGACCCAAUCAUAACCAAAUUAUAAAUUAAGCGACUAAGUUAUUCUAUGAGUAUGAGUUGCUAACUAUAAGCCAAAAGGACUUACUAUGAAACAUUGGGUGCAAAUUGUAGGAUGUCCAGUGUUUACCCAAUUAGGUUUUGUGUUGACUACGACUGGACCCUAUGAGUCAUAGGGUCUCAUUACUAGUAGUACUAGUUGAGUCGUAGGGUAAAUAGUGUGUGAGGUUCCUAGAGAAAAUCUUGGUUAUGAAUCAUGGUGAGGAGUCAUAAGGAGGGGCUACGAGUCAAUGGUUGACCCGUAGUUAAUGGCGGUAAUUUUUUAGCUUUUAAGUUAUGGGCAUUCUAGACAUUUUUCCUCCUACCAAAAUUGCAACCAACAUCUUAUAACCCCUUUAGGGUGUCAUUAGAACUCAAAAAAAAAAAUCUAAGUAGCUUCUCAAACACUCUAAAAGGCUCUCUAAAUUCCCUCAAGCAAGUCAAGAUAUCAUUUCAUCAAUUUGGUCAUCUAAGGGCUCAAGGGUUGAUUUAUCUCCAAAUAUAUUGAUAUGUAAGAAAUGUCACUCUUCCGUCAUUGUUAAUUUGUUAAAAGAACAUAUUUUAAAGUAUUGUUCAUGAGAUAUUCAUGUGGUUUUAUAAAAAGGGUUGAUGGUUUUGAAUGCUUGUUGUUGAACAAUGUUUUCCCAUGGUUUAGAUAUGAUUUUUCUUGCUUUAAUUAUGGUUUUGAACUUGUGGGUGCAUGGGUAUGGUGAAUUAACCAAGGAAUUUUGAUUUUCUCCAAACUUGUGACUUUUGAAGUAGCUAUGACCCUAACCCCAUAAUGUGAAAUUGUUUUUAAUUAUGAGAAAUGUUGAAAUCCAUAAAGUUGAACCAAGGGUUUGUGAAUUUCCAAAAGUGUUGUAAUUGUUUUGGCAUGUUGUUGUUACCUUACAAGUGUAGUUGGUAUGACGAUACCAACAACGUAUACCUAAAUGUGUAUUGAGGUUCAAUGAAUAAGAUUGUGUAAUAAAUGUUUUAAUUGGGCUUUAAUGGGGGUUGUGUAGCUGAGUCGUAAAAGUGGAGGUCUGAGAGACCGAUAUUAGAAAUCGCAUUUGCCAGCAUGGGGAUCAAAGUUACCAGGGAGGUUUGAGUCCUAAUCAUUAUUAUUACAUUAUUAGAGAGGUUCGAGUCCCUCAUAAAUCAUCACAUGAUCGGAUGCUUAAUUCACCUUAUUAUAUGAUUAGGAGGUUCGACCACCCGUGCAUAUAUAUGAGAUUUUUCUCCGGUUUAUAUGGCUACAGGUACUGCAACCCAACUACUAGGUGAGAGCUGGAGUCCAUAUAGCCCAUGGGUACAUAUUAUGAUGGUUGAGCUACAUAAUCUAGGCUAAAGUUUUAAAGGGCAUGUUAAGCCUUGUUCCCUAUCCCGUUAUGUAAUAAAUAUAUGUAUAUACAUUUGAUUAUGCGCAUUAGUUUUCAGUGACUUUGAAUAGUUGACUAUGUCAUUAUGUUAACCUUAUCCUUUAGUUUUAUGCUAGCGCUUCAAUUGCUAACUAUCUUCGGACAUUGUAUCCCCAUGAGAUGCGGAAUUGGUCAUACUUCUUUUCCUUCUGCUUAUAUAUUAGGAUUUGGGAUCAGCUUAUGAGUUGACAUCGAAGUGGUGAGUGGUGAUGUCCAAGAUACACCUCCACUUUGAAGAUGAUAUGGCCACUGAUAAAUAUAGUAACCCAACAAAGGUUAGGUUCGAAUCCCAAAGAAAUAUAUGGAAUCAUUGCUCUCAGCUGUUGUAAUCAACGAUAGGAACUUAAAAAAUAAAUGAGGGUUUUAAGGAGCAAUAUCAAACAGUUGACAAAUAUCAACUUCGGUUGUAAUCAGUUGCAAGUGAACACUUGGACUAUGUUCCUUCUGGUUUCUCAACUCCGUAGACUUAUCAUGCUUUGUUGAACCAACUCGAUGCCUUGCAUGUAGGAUAGAUAAGUGAUGUACCUUCUACAGUUGUUUGGAUGAGUAGAAGGAUUUCACCCUUUACCUUUUAAGUCUUAGGAAGUCACCUUACUAACCUUUAUCUUGAUCCCAAUUAACUAUUACCUUUUGAAUCAGUAGUUAUUAGAUUAAAUUCGACCAUCUUACUUAUCUAUAACCUAGUAGUGUGGAUCGAUAAUUAAACUCCAAAUAACUAUUUUCAUUAUCUUUUCCUAGUUACUACCACUCUUUUGGAGUAAGUAGCAAUAAUCUAGGCAAGAUCCUAAUGUGUAUACCCAUUAAGAAAACAAUUAGCGUGAAGAUAACACAAUGCAUCCAUAGGUAUUGGUUCAAAACGACAAUAGUAGAUAACACAAUGUAUGCAUGGGUAUCGGUUCAAAAUGACAAUAGUACUUCCCUCACUUCAUCAAUCUGCUAGGGUUCCCACAACCCUAGCUAAGGGUUUUUUAUCCAUUCAUGCUUGUGAAGUAAUCAACAACAUUCAUAAUUGAAAGUAUAAGAUGAAAUCACAAUAAUCACAAGUAUAAUUGCUCCAAUAAGUAGACAAAAACACCUUUUUCCUCUUUUCCAUGAACACAGCAUCCAAAAUAAAAGUUUUUGGAAAACAUACCCAAAAAUGGAUCAUAUCUAACAAAACAACCUUAGAAAAUUGCAUAUUUUCCUCGUUUUAAGCAUCAAAGUGAUAUAUUUCUAUAGCACAUCAAUAGCACAUCAACACCAUUAACUUAGAACAUUUGCUUGUCCUUAAGAAAAAAAACAUAACAAAAUAAAAAAAAACUAAACACGAUGCUUAACUAUGAGAAUUUAAGUUAUUCAAGGUAGUCAGUCAACACUUUAAGCUUAUAACACAAUACCCCCUCCUAUCUUAUAUAAAUAUGAAGAACAACAAUGUGAUAUAAUGGGAUCAAGGUAUGGCAUUACAUUUGCACAGACAACCACGCAUAUGUACAAGUUACACUACCAAAACACGUAAGCAGCUAGCAAUAUAACUCAUGUGCCCUCAUAACAAAGACAUCCCACUGACUCAUAUGAAACAAUGCAUGUUAAUGCAGGGACAGUCAAUAGACACUCAUAUUCGAAAGAGAAGUUUUAAUCAAUGUACAUCAAAUACCAUAGGCUUGCACUUAUUUUCUUUACCUUAGCAUUCAGAUAGUCAAGUUUGGAUCACUAUAGCAUUUUUAUCAGCUUGUAAUAUAGGCUUGGGGGAUGUUAUGGUACAUAUGGACCUAUGAAGUGACUAAGCCUCCAUAGAACUAAACUAACCUUGUGGUCUCACUUACUGGCUAGUUUUUUUUAUACCACCCUUGUUUAUCAGUUUUUACUCUUUAUUGCACAUUCAAGUUGGGUGUGGUCUUUUAUUUAUUCUUUCUUUCUUACUUUUAAUCACAACUUUUAUUUCCUUUUUAUUUUGCUACCACACCUAACACUACUAACUUUUUCUCUUGUUUUACCAUUCUACAUACCCACUUUACACUAUACACCCCUAUGAUAGCCACCCUUAGGCAUUUUUCCUAAGUUGAGGUGUGCAAUGUCCAAGGAGAACCAGAGUUAAAACAGGUUCAUUGUAACACAACUGGGAAGGUGAAAUAUGAAAUAAGAAAAAUAGGAUAUAAUGCUCAAAAUGGGGAUCAAGGGAUACUAUUUCACAUAGGGAAGGUCAUUUAGGCUAAAAGUGGUCUAAAAUAAAAAAUGACCUAUAUUUUUUCCUAACCAACUAUUCUUCAACCCAGGAAAGACUAAUAGGCAAUUUUUGAAUUCAACACACAAAGGGAACUAAGUGGCAUCUCACACACACAUGGCUCAGAGUCAACAUUAUAAACUACUACUUAUUUGGUUCAUGCAACUGUUGGCAAGUGAUUAUUAUGUUUCUAAUCUUAAUGCCAUAACAAGAUCCACAAUGUUCACACAUAUAUACAUUCACACAAUUAUAAAAUUCAAAUUUUAUGUGGGGUAUCAAAAGUAAUCAAAACAUGAAAACUACCUUAAAUAGUUUGAAAUUUCCUAAUUACACAAAAAUACAACACAAUAUGAAACAAAACACAAUAUGACAUGAAUUAACCUAGACAUGCAGAUUCUACAACCAUACCGCAAUCGAUAGGAAAAGAAGCACGAUGAUAACACCCUCAAUGGCUAUGGUAUAUCCAACCCCCAAUUAAAAAACUGCAUACAAUCGUCAAUGUGUUAAGAUAAUACAAAACAAAGGGAAGUGAAAACAUACAUGGGACACACUAAGCAUUUGUGUCAUGAGCAUCCCAAGAUGAGGGAAUCUCACUUGGCGGAGGCGAUGGUGGUGGCAGUGCACUACUAGAAGAUACACCUAUUGUUAUCCCGUCAUGCCUUUGCCUCUUAACAAAUGCAUAAUCUAUCGAAUCAUGUAUAGCCAUUUUAACGACCUGGUCAUAUGGCAUAUCCAAAUGCUAUAAGUUUCUUAUGUGACUUUUCUUGGCCCCAACUAUCGGGACCUUCUCAUUAUCUUUUGCAAAAGAAAAUAUCUAGGUACGUGUGGAGGUAAUAUCUAGACCACUAGGGGUAUGACUAUGUUAGUGGCUGCUACAUGGAUUUCUAUAAGAGAGUGUACCUCUGCUCACAAUAUAUCCAUUUCCUCUUUCAUCUAGGCUAGAUUUGGUACCUCUAUCUCUAUAAAUUGGGUUGUAACCUAUCUAUCAAACUCAUUAAGACAUGCCUGUAAGUAAGUACAUAGCUCAAGAAGGGUAGAUCUCUAUACGACCUCCUAUCUAGCUUCUGUCCUAUUAAAUUUAGUCUGAACCCCUAAAUAUAUUACAUCAAAUAGGGUAGUCAUCUCAGUCUCAACAACCCAUAAUUGAGCAUUAGUAUCCCUCUGACUGUCCAUUACGCUCUGCAAAAACUCUUGAGAUAUUGUAAUAAUAUCUAUAGCAGAAGCUGUAGUGGAUGGGAAAGUUAAAAAUAUUCCAAUCGACUCUCAGGUCAAAGUCGGGGCUGAUGAAGAAGUGGAUGAUGUCCUCUCAUCCUGAGUACUCAUAUUUGGGGCCUCUGUCUGUUCCCCUAUCUCAUUAUAAACACUAAUAUCCAUAUCACCUCUAUUUGUAUUACCUGGAUCUAUGGAAAUUGAUGGACCCUCAAUCUAGGCUCGAGGUACUAUGGUAGGCUCACUAGAUCUCUUGAGAAGGCCCGAAUGUCCUAGAUCCAUCAUACUCUUCAUCUGUAUGGUAGCUAUCAUAAGUACCCUCUCAUCUACUCCCGAUAUCUCUAGUACCCAGCCUCGUCACAUAACCUCUGAAUCAGGCAAGGGAAUGGCACCAAGUUCCCUUCCCAAAGUGGGAACAAGUUGAUGCGACCGAUUAAAGAAGAAGGACAACUCGCAAUGGUACUAUGGCUAGUUGGAAAGCCUUUCAAGCCAAUCUCUUGAUUCACAUUCAUAUGAAACCAUUGCAACCGAUCCUGCAUACCAAUCAUCCGCCGCUUAAAGUAAUGGCCAAGGUUUCUAUAGAUUCAGUCCUGUGGAAAAAUGGUGUUGUGGGCAAUUCAGUGUGUAGUGUCACCCCUGGGACACUAGCGAGUCCGUCCCUAAAAAUUAGGUCCAUGAAGCCAGAGUGUUGUCGCACUAAACGACUACCUUCCUUAGAUACUCCAAGCCACAAUCUAUAUUGUCCUUGAACCUAGACCAUGGAAGGUUGGUUAUAGUCCCAUUCUAUUAGUGGGAUCCAUAGCCCGCGGGUCUUUCCCAAGCCAGCAAAGAAGAAGGUAGUCUAGGACUACCCUAAGCCUAGAAGAGAAGUAGGCAGGACUUUCAGUUACAAUGUCUAGGUUGGGCAAGCCGCCUUUCGCCUUUCUAAAGCCAAUCGAUUAUCGGAUUUCACCAAGCUAACUACCACUACCUGGGAAUUUAUAGAUCCGCUCUAAGAUAGCAUUAAGAUUCCAAACUCCAUGAAAGCAGGAGAUUUAUUAGCUAUAGUCAAAUCUCGUGACGGUGAUCAAAGAGCAUUAGCUACGAUACUACAACCUCUGCUCCUGACCCCCAGAUCGAAACGUUACGAUUCACUCCGGUGCUGCUUGCUGGUGGAGGUUGGGAGUAUCUCAACUAUGAAUAAGAAGUCGAAGAAGCCCUAGAUCCGCCUCUUACUUACCUACCUUCCCAGACUAGCUAGUCAGGGCGAAGCAUUCGUCAGCAUUAGUAGUUUUGGCACGAUAGACUCAUGAGAUGUGACCUCAUGAUGGGUCGGUGGGAAUGGCUCGUGAUCGUGCAUUCAAUCAAUUUCCCUUGGAAACAUUGGAAAUGAUGGUCAAGGUUUGCCGUAAAUAAAUAGAUGAGUUCGAUUCAAGUAUCCAAACAAGAAUACGGUUCAGAUACCCCAAACAAGAAGCCACUUAGGAUUUUUGCUUUUUCUAUCCCGGAGGGAGGGUCUCAUGACAACGCCUUUCUCUGCGGUCUCUAUUCGUAGGAAUAGAAUCAUCCAAGUAAUUGUGUCUAUCACUGAAGGCAGUCAAGAGUCACUCAGGGCUAUUGUACUUGUACUACUCAGCUGUUAUAGUCCAUUAGAGUGUUUGAAAUCCCUGAAUCCUGACUCUGUACGGAGCAGUAGGCUUGAGUUAUAGUCCGUAUCCCGUACUACUUGUCUGGAGUAGGAAAGAGUGUGAUCUCAGUUUCCUAUCAAGUCAAAGGGAGACCACGAGGGUCUUCCUUAUGGUUCGCUAUAGUCUAUUAAUAAUUAAUAUGUCUAAUAAUCCUUCUUGUCCGGUAAGCAAAAGCAAGCAAGGGAGCCUCUGGCUUCGUCCCUUCAUCUCGCCACAACACAAGCUGUGGUAUAAUCUGUCUAUACCUCACUCGGUUCAGUAAGAUAAAGAUAUGGUUUGAUGUGUGAGGCCUCUCUUCACUAACUAAAGUCGCUUCCUCGUGAACUCCGUUAACUAGGCACCCCUCUCCAAGUAGUCAGUCUAUUCUCUCGUGGAGAAAGCCUUACUCUCGUUUCGUUCGAACGUAGCCCGCAGGAGUCAAGGGGUUGUAGGGGCGACUUCCAGAGAUAAUUACGGCGAGGGAAGAUGAAUAGCAUUCUUCCUUCGCAAAUACCGACUUCACCAACCCCUAACCCGGCUAAAUAGUUUGAUGCCUGCAUUUAAACUAACUCACCAUAUGUUAGUAUGCUAGUGUGCGGCUGAGAAAGUAUAUAAAGUAUAUAGAGGGAAAAGGUUUUCAAAAAGCCAUUCUCGGUGACGACAUUGUUAUCGUCGACGAAAAGGUUACAAACGUGUAUACGGCCCCCUGAUAGGACUGUGACCUAACUAUGACCUAACUAUAUCGGUCAAAAAGUAGCUAGUCUCUGACAAAGGUGCUCUUGAGUUCGCUAAGCCAUUUAUAUGCGAUGAAGGUGGAACGGAUUUAUCUCUAAUCUCCUUUCGCCCGUUCACUCAAUACUCAGUAGCAGCUCCCGUAUUCGCGAUUCGCGAGGGUUGAAAAUGGAUUUCAAACAAUAUGAACAACAAUAACUCGACAUUCUCAAGUUCACCAAUUGAACAAGUCCGGCAUAUCGUCGCAAAGUAGUACACUCAAGUGGACUCCACCUAAUGGACGGAUACAGAGAUAGUAUCCAGAAAGAUCUUGGGAUUACAUUCGUCAAACCAAAUAUCUUUAGCAGUCGCAAAAGAGGUGACGGGGCUCAAAGGAAGUAAACAAGUCAUCCUUUGAAGCUAAGCACUUUUCAUCUUUUGUAGGAAAAUCCCCUUCUCUAGUCUUGGGAAAUUGAGCGACCCAUCCACAUAAGCACAAGAAUUUUUUUCCCGAGCAAAUCAUUCUUCAUCGCAUAAGCCCAUGACAAGUCAUUUCCAGAUGCUUCUUUCAGAAGAGCACGGGAAAAACCUAUGGAAUCCAUUGUACUAAGAACUAAGACCCAAAAGAUCAUCUAAGGACUGAAAAUCGGGACUCAAAACUAGUUAAGAAGGCUUAAGCUUAACUCAAGCAAUCACUCAAGAGAAGCCGGAUUCAUAAAAGAAAGAAGAAGAAGUUCCAGCCAAUUUUGAUUUUGAAUGAUAAGGAAGCGCUUGAUCUGGGUCUUAGAAGGGCAUCGAGAUCAAGGAGAUCGUGAGAUCAAAGUGGACGUUCCCGAUUUCCAUGGCCGAUUGCAUCUUUGCAUCCUGAGGACUUUCUUGAUUGGCUAAGUAGCGUAGAGAAGUUCUUUGAUUGGAAAGAACUACCCGAGGUGUGCGAAGAUGAAAUUCCUGAGCAAAAAUAAGGAACGCUUUCUCGACGCUGUAGAUCAUGCAUGACUGGCUUGUCCAAAGGAGACGGGAAGUUCUUUUCCCCUUUUGUUAGGCUUUGCUGGGAUGAUGUCUCGUUCUUCGUCACGCUGCCCAUGACUGGAUAGGGGUAGCGCCAUAGACCGUCUCUUUGGCUUAGAGUCGUUUCAUGAGCGAGGGGGCUAAGCGCAUACACGCUUCCUUCGGAACCUGACUCUAUCUUCGACUACCAAAAAGAAAGCGAAGGAGAGCCACUUUUUUUUAUAGUAUAGAGUAGGACUGAAAUUCCAAGCGCUCCUAGCUCAGAAACCACACACAGACAAACACAUGGAGGCCCAUAAAACCCAUAAAUAAUAGACUAACAAAUAUACGUGACAUACACUUCCUGUGUGAAGUUUUCAUCUUAAUGAAUCAAAGCUGUUUGUAAAAUGCUACUUUUCUUUCUGCAACAAGUAAGAGUACUUUUUCUUAUCAUAUACCCUUAUGAAUGAAUGAAUCAAAAAAAUGUGACUCCACAAAUAGUCCCC